UUUUUUUUUUUUUUUUUUUUUGGUUUUCUUUUCUCUGCAUAAAAGAAAUUUUUCCAUUGAUCAGAAUGAGGAUGAAUCGUUACAAAGAGGAUUACUGUCCAUUACUACACCUAUACAACUCUAUACAUAUACAAAAAGUUAACAGAACAUAGCAGACUUAAAACAAAAAUGGACAUAUCUAAAGCCAACUGCCAAUUCAUCAUCGUUUUCUUUACGCCUUGCUUCGCUACAUUCUGAUACAGAGACCAAAGUAUGAUUGUUCCCAAAGGCUAGGCUCUAAUUGCAGUUUUUUAAAAAGCUAAAAGUUGGGUUCAGAAGCACCUACUAGUCAGAUAAAUUUUUCUUCAACUUAAAGAAUAAGCAAAAAAGCAUUAAAAAAACGUAUCAAAACAGUUUCUUGCUUUAAAAAAAAAUGCAAUGGUGAGCUAUAACUUUAAACUGUCUAGAACAAGCAUUGUAUAUUCACCAAAACAGCGAGGAAAAUGAGCAAAAAACAAGUACCUUGAAGUUGCCUAGAGGAGUCCAUGGCCAGUCGUACAGUAUCCCUGGUUUAGAAGCCAUAGUAGACCUUUCUUCUAGAGUUCUCUCAGGUUUUCUCGACCGUGUAUUGUAUCUUUAGAAUGUCUACUUUGAUGUCGCAAUAUAUAGAAAAACAUGCAUGAAUGCAAUCACUCGAUUUUACUUUUCACCAAACUCCUAACUACACCUACACGUAGCACUUCACAGCAAUGCUAUUCAUUUACUGAGGGAUCCGUUUUUGCAGCCUUUUUUUAGUUUAUUUUGCAUUUACUCUCAGUACUGUUACUGUACUCUCCACUUAGAGCAAAGUAAAUUUGUUACAUACUCUUCCAUUGAUGGUUCGGUUCUUUACCAACAUAAGUUGGCUCUAUUAAUAAGUACGGUCAUUGUUUCACCGUACAUUCAAAUUUUGCUGAUCAUGUAAGAAUUAAGUGAACAAUUUAUAAGAAACUUUUAAGCAUCUUAUGGUUCGAGGGCGUAUUUUGAUCCGUUGUAUUGAUUGGAGUUGAAUCCAUCAAACUUUUUUUGUAUAGGAAAAAAAAAAAAUAGUCCAUUGCUUUCAUCCUAUACUCUGUAAAAGCUAUAAAAGUAAAGAGUUGUGAUAACUUGUUUUUUUUUUUUCUAUUUUUUGUUGGCUUAUAAGAGUUCAUGUGAACCACAAUUAGAUGAUUACGAUAAAUGCAACUCAUAGACAAUUAUAAGAAUUUACUACUUUUUAAUUACAAUUUUGUUGCUUUUGUCAUGGGGCCUCAAUUUUGAUAGCUAGUGAUACUAACAUGGAUGGGACAAUACCAACCGAAAAAAAAGAAAGAAAAAAUUGGAAUAGGCUUUUCCCACCCUCUCAGCAGGCAAAGGGGCUGCUCAUAUCUUUUUUUUACUUCUUUGAUGAAAAUGAUGUCGAUAGGAUUCAAAUCCUAACAAACACCCAGUAGAAACUUAAGUUCCCCUAUUGGUCACUGGACAAAACUUAGUGGUUCAUAUGCAUUUUUUAUUGCUUAAAGUGUAUAAAUGGUUGUGACAAUCUUUAGUGCCUUUUAUUAUAUAAAAAAUGUUUGAGUGAUUUUAGUUUCAGUUAUCACCAGGAAUCAAUGUAUGAUUUUUAAUGAAGAAGGAUCCAUCCUUACUUACCAAAUGAACCAAUAUAUAUGUGUUGACCUAGUACUCUAGUUAUGUGAAAAUGUCAAGUAUUUUAAAGAAUUCAAAUCAGCAAUUAUACAUUAAUAAUAUAGUUAUACAUUAAUUGAAUCGUGUGAUUAGAAACUUUAUACAGGUAUCAAAGCAAAAUAGACAUUAAUAAAUACCACAUAACGAGAGAAGUAUGGUGCAAGCUAAUUAUUCUUUAACAAGCCUAACAAGAGAUUUAGGCAAAUGAUAUAGUAGCUCUAAGAAAAGUUUCGGCACUCCAUUCAACUUUUUUGCUUAAUGAAAUGAUACAAAAACCUAUAAAAUAUUAUAAAAAAUGAAAUUAUCCCUCUAUGUGUUAUAACUUUCUCUAAUUUGUCUCUUCAAUUGAAUUAGUUUUCUCUACUCUUAAAUUAGUCUUAAGUCAUUAUCAAGUAAUAAUGAAAGAAAUUCUUAGUAGAAAUGAUUUUAAAAAUGUCGUGUGAGUAUGAAUUAUUUAGUAGUGCUUGAGUAAAGUGAGUUGUCUAUUACUUUUGGCCUUGUUCAUUAUUUUUUUGGUUGAGUUUUACAACUUCAAACAAUAGUAAAGUUUCUCUUUUUUUCUAGAAAUUUAAGAUUUUAUUGUCAAGAGUGUAGAGGUCUCCAUAAAAAAUAAUGCAAACUAAUAACUAAACUAUGUCUUGAGGGAAAUUUUGACAUUUAAACUAUUAGAUUAAUCUAGUUUGUAGUUGUUUUAUGUCACUUGUGAAUAAAGAUGGAAUACAUGAACCUUUUUUUUUCCCUGGAGUGCUAACCUUCUUUUUUUAUGUAAUGAAAGCAAAUUUGCUAAGGAUGUACUGCAUUACUGGCUGAGUGAGUUGUCUUACACCAUGGGACCAAGGAGAAUAUGAGGAACUUCAAUUGGACAAAAUACUAGACCAUUAAUAAAUUUCAUUUCUUAUCCUUAGGAAAGCAUAUAAUAUGGUAGCUAGCUAGUCCAAUAACAAGUCAAUGCAGUGUAUUUAGAUCUUUACAAAUGAGAAAAAGGUAGUUGGAUUCUUCAAUCGAGAUGUUUGGACAAUUAUUUAGCAACUUGUAUUCAUGUAUUGCUAAAAAAUUAAUUUUUUUUUCUUUUCUAGGUGUUUAUAAGAAGGGGAUGCUCACCUUAAUAACAAGGCAUGUCAUUGGCGUGCUUGACAUUAUACAUAGGUUUAGUAGUUUUCUGUUGGAAAAGGGGUACCCGUACAGGUACACAAUAUCAAAAUUAAACCAGAACAAAUUUCUUUUUUUUCAAGUACCAGUUAAAAUAGGAAUAAACUAAAUCACCAAAUAAUAAUACCAACAGUGAUAAUAAAAUGCAAGGAAAAAUAAAAGCACAGGACACCAAGAUUUUUACGUGAAAAAUCCAAAUUGGAAAAAUCAUGGGACCUAAUCCAAUUAAAAAUAUCUACUAUCACAAUAAUGGGAAUACACAAGUCUAUCCGAAAUAUUCGGAUGACAAUAAUAUCACCAAUACCAAUCAAACGAAAUUGUUACAAAAUCACUCCCAAAAACUGCAACUGUCAAAGAAGUGGGUUUGGAAAGGUGUUACCAAACGAAGAGGAAAUUUGAAAUCUAAACCUGUAGAUAAGUAGAGUUUGACAAAAGGAUCGUGUGUGUAAAAUUUCGUCUCAAUCGGACUUCAAAUCACCUUUCAAUUGAGGUUUCAAAGUUGCACAGAAUUUUCUCUCUCUAGCUCUCACUCUUUCUCUCUCUUCGUCUCUCUCAAAGUGGCGGCUGUAGCCUUUGGUCUCACACUAGGACCAAAGAAUGAAAUCCCGCAUCCGGCUGCUCACUUUUCUUUUUAAGUCAAAUCUUGACUUAAACCUAAAAGUGUUUGGUUUUGUGGUUUGGCCCACAAAUGGGCUGACCUACAAACCCAACAAUCUCCCCCUCCAGCUCAUUUGGGGGGUUCCACCGAACCUGCUUCUUGUCUGCAAAAUAAGAGUUUCUCCUUAGGCAAUGUCUUGGUAAACAUGUCCGCACCAUUAUCAUUUGUAUGCACCUUCUCAAGUGUCAAUAACUUGGAAUCCAAUACUUCUCGAAUUUAAUGAUAUCUCACAUCAAUGUGUUUGGGUCGAGAGUGAAAUGUAGAGUUCUUACACAAAUGAAUAGCACUCUAACUGUCACAAUAAAUGUUGUACUUCUCUUGCUUCAUACCCAACUCCUGAAGAAAUUUCUGUAACCAAAGAGUCUCCUUUCAUACUUCAGUGGUUGCGAUAUACUUUGCUUCCGUACUAAAAAGAGCGAUGCACUUUUGUAAUUUAUUUUGCCAUGACACUGCUCCCCCUGCAAAAGUCAUCAAAUAUCCAGAUGUGGAUUUCCUAUUGUCAAGAUCAUCUGCCAUAUUUGCAUUGGUGUACCCAUCUAACAUAAUUUUUCCAUUGCCAAAAUAUAAGCACAAUUUGGAAGUUCUCUUGAGAUACCUGAGAAUCUAUUUAACGGCAUUCCAAUGCUCCUUACCAGGAUUAGAGAGAUAUCGACUGACUACUCCAACAGCAUGAGCAAUAUCUAGUCUGGUGCAAACAUGACAUACAUCAAACUACCGAUAGCCGAGGCAUAAGAAACAUUUUUCAUAUCUUCUUUAUCUUUAUCACUUGUAGGACACUGCUUGAUGUUCAGUUUAAACUGACCCGCAAGUGGAGUUGAGACUUCCUUAGUCUUGCUCAUGUUAAACCUAUUGAGUACUUUCUCAAUGUAUUUUUCUUAAGACAACCAAAGCUUCCUAUUUUGCCUGUCUUGUGAGAUUUUCAAUCCCAAUAUUUGUCUAGCCGGAUCCAAAUCUUUCAUUGCAAAGGAUUUACUUAACGUCCCUUUUAGCUUGUCAAUUUUCACAGUAUCACGACCAACAAUCAACAUAUCAUCAAUAUAUAGCAGAAAAAUAAAAAAAUCACUAUUUGAAAAAUUUUUCACACAAGUACAGUGAUCAGAUAUAGUCUUGUAGUACUCAUGGUCUGUCAUGAAGGAGUCAAACUUCUUAUACCAUUGUCUCGGUGUCUAUUUCAAUCCAUACAAACUCUUCUUGAGACGACAUACAAGAUUUUCUUAACCACUUUCUUUGAACCCCUCCGGUUAUUCCAUGUAGAUUUCCUCUUUCAAGUCGUCAUGCAGGAAGGCUGUCUUCACAUCAAGUUGUUCGAUCUCCAGAUUCAAACUGGCUACAAUACGAAGAACAACUCGAAUUGAUGACAUUUUUACCACAGGAGAAAAGAUUUCUUCAAAAUCUAUACCCUUCUUUUGACUAAAUCCCUUCACAACCAAUCUUGCUUGUACUUUGGUUGUGAAUUGUGCUCCUGAAUUUUCAACCUGUAAAUCCAUUUAUUCUUUAAAACCCUCUUACCCUUGGGCAGUUUCACUAAAUCAUAAAUAUGAUUUUCAUGCAGAAAUAUCAUUUUCUCUUACAUGGCUCGCAACCAAUUUUCUUUAUUCUCGUGCUCUAAAGUUUCACAGUAGGAUUCAGACUCUCCUCCAUCUAUUAACAACAGAUAUUCAUAAGAAUUAUAUCUGCUAGAAGGUCUCCUCUCUCUGGUAGAUCUCCUAAGCUCAUCUGGUGGUGAUGAUGGUGGACUAAGUGGUGCCUCAUGCUCAGGUUCAUCAGCAGUAGAAUUAUCACCAUCAUUAACAUCCUCUUUCUGUUUUGUCUCAACUCCCUAUUGAUUAAAAUCAACAGGUACUGGAAUUGAUUUGGAUCUGAAUUUGAGCUAGCAGGAAUGUCAUCUGAAGACAACAUCUCUUAUCUUCAAUGGUUUGAUUAGGAGUGUGUAAAGUCGAAAAAUUUUGAUUUCGAAAUCGAUUUCGAAUUGAAUUCGGAAGUUCGAAUUCGAAAUUUCGGUAAUUCGGAAGUGAAUUCGGUAAUUCCGAUUUCGAAUAUGUCGAAAUCAGGUUGAAUUCGAAAAUAUGAAUUUUGAAAUCGGAAUUACCGAAUUCGAAAUAGGAAUUCGAAAUUGGAAAUUCGAUAUCGAAUUCGAAGAAUAAUAUUUAUAUAUAAUAUAAUAAUUUUUAACAAUACAUAUAUAAUAUAUAUUAUAUAACAUAAAAUAAGUUAAUAAUUGAAAUUAAAAUUGAAAGCCAAAAACCCUAAUUUUUCCAGUUUUCACUUACUCACCAGUCACCUUAGCUCUUCCGCCGCCCUCUUCCUCAUCGCCUCUUCGUCAAUCAUUACUACCUUCCUUUCUUCCUUAUCGCCUCUUCGUCACCUUCGUCACUAGGGGUGUUUCGCGAAUCGAGCCACUCGCGAGCCGAUCGCGAGCGGCUCGAAUACGAGCUCGACUCGAGCUCGUCAAUAUCGAGUUCGAGUCGAGCUCGAGCUAAUUAAGUCGAUCUUGAGUUCGAAUUCGAGCUCAAAAACAUUAAACUCGCCGCUCGCGAGCUCAAUUACAUAAAUAUUUUUUAUAUUUAUAUUUUUUAUUUUAAUAGUAAAAUUACAUAUAUCCAUAAUAUUUUAUUAUUUAUUGAAAAAAUUAUUAUUUUAUUCAUUUUUAAAAAUAAAUAAUUAUUUUUUAUGUUUUAAAAAUAAAAUAAUAAUAAUUAUUUUUUUUAUUUUUUAAACUCAAGCUCGAUUCGAAUUUGACUCGAGCUCGAGCUCGAUAUUUUGAGCUCGUCGAGCUCGAGCUCGAGUUCGAGUUUCACAAAAUUAACUCGAGCUCGGCUCGAUUAGCCAAAACUCGGUUUGAGUUCGGCUCGUUUGCACCCCUAUUCGUCACCUUCCUUAUCACCUUCACCUUUCUCUUCGUCACUGGCUCUUCCUCAUCGCCUCUUCGUCACCUUCCUUCAUCUGCCUCCAACUCAGCUUACUCUCUCACUCUCUCGGUUUCGCCUUCAUAUUUUUCACCUUCUUCAAGCCCGACAAAGACAUAAAGUGUUGGCACACGUUCUUCUCUACGAGACUCCCUCGGCAUCUGGGAGAUACCUCUGCGCCGAAAGUGUUCUUCAUCGUGGUGAAGUGGUUGAAAUCUUGGCCAAACUCUUUCCAAAGUAUCCAAUUCCAACAAAGUAAGUUCACUUGCUCAAUCAUUCUGAUUCUAGUCCAACUCACUGUAAUAUUAUUCAUUAUUUUUAGGUAAAAGUAAAACCCAGAAAAGAUAAAGUGGUAAAUCAAAUUUAUGCUGUAGAAAAUUGAUGAGCCCACAAAUUAAUUUGGUGGCCGUUUGACUAAUGUUAAGUGAAAUGGUUUACACCCAAGAAUAAGAAAUAAAAAAAGUUAUUUGAAAAAUGAUGCUGGUUUCUUGUUUACUAAUUUGAUUGAUAUCUUUCUGUUUCCGCAACAUCCUUUUUGUAAUCUUUACCCAACUUAAUGUCAAAAAUUUUGCUUCUCCAGUGAUAGGUAAUUGUUUCCCUCAAAAUGGCAGGUGAUUUGGCUUCUCAAUUUCACCAAACCAAAAAUGUUUUAACUUUUGGAGAAUGGAAAUUUUUUUUUGGGACGCAUGUGUAAGAAGAGGCUUUAUUAUUAUUAUUAUUAUUAUUCUUUUUGGGUGUGGGGAAUGGGGGAGAUUCAUUUAUUUAUCAUCUCCAAUGGUGUUGUUGUAAACGGAUUAGGGAGCAUAAGUUAUGCAUAAUUUAUUAGCAUAAAUUAUAUUUUAGAGAUCAAUGUGUGAUUAUUUGUAUUGUAUAUUGUAUCUCCUCUGUAUAGUAUGAUGUGCUGGUGCAGUAGGAACAUGUGUGUGGCAGUGACAAUAACUUUAAGCAAGAUGACAAUAGUAAGACAUGUGGACAGUGGUUUCAUUGUAAUUAGGAAAAGUUUGGCUUACCAAGAGAGCCAACAGUUAUUGAUGGUCAAAUCACAAAAGUUGAGUUCUUUUUUCUUGAAAAGCAUUUAAUCGCAUUGAUUUCACUAUUUUGAUGAGGUUCAGGUGAAGAUAUUUUAGUUGUAUACCGAGUUUAUAAAUCGCAAAACUUUAUAUUUGCUGCUAUGUUUGGCUCUAUUUUCUUACUUUCUGUGCUAAAUUGGAAACAAGUUCUCCAGGAAACUGCAUUAUGUGAUUCAAACUCUCAAUAUUUCUUCAUUUUAUUAUCUAAUCUAUUGCAUAUAUUGGGAAACAUAUCUUCAUUUUAUUUUCACUUUCUUUUGCAUAUCAGUAAGCAUGUCCACUUUUGAGAUAGAAGGUUCAAGUGAUUCAACACCAUCUUCAAGUCCAGCUCCUAUUUCCAACAGCUGUGAAGAAGAGAGGUGAGUACAAGAAAAUGUCACCAGCUUGGGAUCAUUUUCAGCCUCACUAUGUCCAAGGUGUUCGUCAUGGCAUAUGUAAUUACUGUACGAAAAUGAUAGCUGCUGAUCCAAAGUCUAAUGGUACUAGUCCUCUCUUAUCCCAUGUUAAAUCAUGUGAAACGAAUCCUGUAAAUAAGUCUAAGGGGCAAGGUACAUUAUGCUUGGGUGAGGUUGGUGGUCUUGGGGGGGAUGUUAAGAGUGCACUUAUUAGUUGGAAGUAUGACCCUGAUGCAAUUAGAAAAAGCAUUGCUUAUAUGUUGAUUGUUGAUGAAUUGCCAUUCAAACAUGUAGAAGGUAAAGGAUUUCAGCAUGUCAUGAGAACUGCUUGUCCUUCUUUUCAAAUUCCUUCAAGGUGGACAAUUACUAGAGAUUGCUAUUAACUUUAUUUAGAUGAAAAAAUUAAGUUGAAGAAUAUGUUAAGGCAUAGAGCUAUUAGAGUUUAUCUUACCACUGAUUGUUGGACAUCUAUCCAGCGAAUAAAUUAUAUGUGUUUGAUAGCUCACUUUAUUGAUUGUGAUUGGCAAUUGAACAAAAGAAUUUUAAAUUUUUGUCUAAUUAGUAGUCAUAAAGGGACUGAAAUUGGAAAGAGUAUUGAGAAAUGCUUAUUAGAGUGGGGGAUUGAUGAUGUUUUCACAGUAACAGUUGACAAUGCUUCUUCAAAUGACACGGCUGUGCAAUAUUUGGUUGAAAAAUUGCAAAAUUGGGGUAAAUCUAUAUUAGGGGGAAAGUGGAUUCAUAUAAGAUGUGUAGCUCACAUAAUCAAUUUGAUUGUGAGUGAUGGCCUAAAAAAAUUUGGGGGGUCCGUUGAUUUUAUCCGAACAGCUGUGAGAUACAUUAGACAAUCACCUUCUCGUUUGAAAAAAUUCGAGGAAUGUGCUGAAAUUGAAAAAAUUGACAAUAAAAGGUUACUAAGUUUAGAUGUGGCAACUAGGUGAAACUCAACCUACUUAAUGUUAGACAGUGCUCAUAGGUUUGAGAGGGCAUUUGAGAGGUUUGAGGAGCAAGAUCCAUAUAUGCUGCAUGAGCUAGAGCACUUGCCAACAAAAGGUGAUUGGGAAAAGGCAAGAUUCUUAACUUUAUUUUUGGAGAACUUUUAUGAUCUCACAGUAAAGGUUUCUGGUUCCAAAUAUGUGACAUCUAAUAAUCUUUUCAAUGAACUUAGUCACAUUAAUGGCAUCCUAAAGGAAAUGGCAGAAAGUGCUAAUCCCGACUUAUGUGGAAUGGCAAAAAUAAUGAAAGACAAGUAUGAUAAGUAUUGGAGAAAAUUGGAGAAAAUGAACAUGUUGAUUUUCAUUGCUUACAUGUUUGAUCCUAGUACAAAGUUUGAGUACUUUGAAUUCGUUGCUUGUAAAAUGUAUGGUGAUACCGAAGGUGCUGUUGUGGCUCAUGUAGCCAAGGAUGCAAUGUAUGAAUUGUUUAAUGAUUACAAGAGACUCAAUAGUUCUGCUGGAUCUUCUCAAUUCUCUAUUUCCUCACUUUCUAGUGGAUCUGAAAAUAGCAUCUCUCCCUUUGAUGGAGAAGUCUCCAAAAAAAUAAAUGAUAGAUACAGAAUUGAGUUCAAGAAAAGAAAAGUUGAACUUUGAGGAAAGAAUGCUAAAUCUGAAUUUGACAAAUAUUUGAGUGAGGAUUGUGAGGAUGAGGAUCCCGAGUUCGAUAUCUUGAAUUGGUGAAAAGGUAAUAGUCUUCGGUUGCCAAUACUUUCGCAAAUGGCUCGUGAUGUGUUGGCUUUCCCGGUCUCUACGGUUGCUUCCGAAUCUGCCUUUAGUACCGGAUGACGUGUUCUUGACCCAUUCAAAAGCUCUUUAACUCCAAGGAUUGUGCAAGCCUUGAUUUGUGCUCAAGACUGGUUUCGGACAUCCGAAAAUGAGUUGAAUGUAGAAGAAAAAUUGGAGAAUCUUGAGAAAUUUGAAUCUAGUAAAUUAUCUUCUUUUUUAUUGACAAACUUGAAAUAUUUUUUCUAUUCAUAAAUGCAAUUAAGCUCCUUCAUUAUUUUUUUUUCUUGAAUAAUAGGUUUGAUCAAAGAAGGUGCAGAAGCCACAAUUGUUGAUGUUUGAAUUCUCUAAUGGUGAUUCUGAUUUGGUGCUCAUAGAAAUUUAAGUUUGAAAUGUUGUCAAACUGAAAUGUUGUCUUAUUUGUGUGAAAGGCACUUUGGUUACAUUUGUAUAACAGUAUAAGUAUUAUCGUAUGAAAGACUGGAAUUGUUUGAUAAUAGUUGAUUUGUAUUAUUUACUGGAAUUGUUUUGUAUUUGAAAUUUGGACUGGAAUAGUUGUAUAAGUAUUCUCAUAUAAAGUGGUAGAGUUCUUGUGAUUUAUGGUAUUGAAUAGGCACUCUGGAAUGUGGAAUUGUUAUUCAGCUUUAUCAUUUCCUAUUGAAUUUGAGACAGCUGACCUGUGAAAUAUGGAAUCUAAGGGGAUUGCAUUUACUUUGAACAGGUUUUCUGUUUUUGAUUUGUUAUUAUCCUUAUGACUGUUUCAUUGUGGGUCUUGAACGAAUUUCAUUUCAUUCGAAGUCACAAAAUUGAAACUUUAAUUUGAUUGAAGAACCUUUUUGGUAGAUGGUCUGUUGUUUCCUUGAUUUGUGGUUUAUAGUAUCUACAAAUGCUUUGAGUUGCUUUGUUCAAAUCAUAUCCUAAGCUUUAUUUGGCUUUUUGAUUGUUUAGCCUAUUUUUAAGUUGAUUAGUCGUGGAAUAUGUGCUGAAGGUGUUUUAUGACUUUAUUCUGGUUAACAACCUGUUUUGGUUUGGAGGAGGAACGGCUUUCAAAUCUCCUAUUAAAUAGAGGCGAAAUUAAGUUUCUUUCAAGAAAGGAGAGGGCACAAAAUAAAAGAGAGAAUUCGAUGAAUUCGGAUUUCACCGAAUUCCGAAUUCAAUUCGGUAUCGAAUUCGAAUUCGAAAGUAGCAUUUCGAAAUCGAAUUCGGUGGGUGAAAUUGAAGCCAAAUUUUCGAAAAAUUUCGAAUUCAAACUUCCGAAUUCGAAUUCGAUGCACACCCCUAGGUUUGAUUUUCGAAGAUGAUAAUAUCUCUGCUCCUGAUCACCUUAUUCUUAAUAGGAUCAUACAACUUAUAACCAAAAUAUUCAUGUCCAUAACCUAAGAAAAUAUAUUGUUUUGAUUUUACAUCAAGUUUUGAUCUCUUAUCUUUGAAAAUAUAAACAAAUAUCCGGCAACCAAAAACUCUCAAGUACUUAAAAGAUAUAUCUUUUUCCGUCCAUAUUCUCCCUGGGAUGUCACCAUUUAGAGGAACUAAUGGAGAAAGAUUAAUCAAAUAGACCGCAGUUCUCAUUGCCUCACCCCAAAAAAACUUUGGCAACUUAGCAUUAGAAAGCAUACAUCUGACUCGUUCAGUGAUGGAUCUAUUCAUCAUCUCUUCUACUCCAUUCUCUUGAGGAGUUUUUGACAUAGUUUUCUCCAAUCUAAUUUCACGGGACUUGCAAUAGAUUUCAAAUGGUUCUCUGUACUUACCACCAUUAUCAGUACGUACACACUUUAACUGUUUACCAGUUUCUCUUUCAACUUUGUUAUAAAAAUCUUUAAAUACAUCCAAAACCUGAUCUUUGAAUUUCAAAACAAAACACAAAACCUUUCUAGCAAAGUCAUCAAUAAAAGUUACAAAAUAAAUAGUACUAUCAAGAGAUUUAUCUUUCAUAUAACAAGCAUCAAUGUGCACUAAUUUUAAAGGAUUCAAUUUUCUAGAUUGAGGAAAAUUUUGAAAUGCAACUCUGUGUUGUUUCCCAUAAAUGCAGUCAAUACAAGAUUUAAGUGCAUUACUUCUAAUUUCAUGAAGGAGUUGUUUGUGAAUAAGUGUCUGAAUCCCUUUUUCACUCAUGUGCCCAAGUCGCCUAUACCAAAGGUCAAUUGAUGAAUCACGAAUUGCAUUAAUUUCUCCCUUCCCCAAUUUGGCUUGCAUCAAGUAGAGGGUACUUUGCUUCUUUCCUGCAACAACGAGAUUUUCUUUACUGAUUUUCGUUUGCCUCCAUCUUGCAAGUUAUGAUAACUCUCAUCGGCAAGUUUUCCUAUAGAAAUAAGAUUAAGACGAAUAUCAGGAACAUGUCGAGCAUUUUUUAAUAUCAGCUGGCACCCGAUAUAUGUAUCCAAAUAUAUGUUUCCCAUGCCAAUAACUUUGCAUGAGAUCUUAUUUCCCAUCCUAACAUAUCCAAAAUUUCCUUCGAUAUAGAUUGAGAAGAAAUGCCUAUGAGGAGUAACAUGGUAAGAUGCACCCGAAUUAACUAUCCAAUCGCUGUCACAAUGAAUAAUAUUCACCUGACCAUCAUCACAGAAUACAAACAUAUCAUCAUGAGCUGCCACAACUGUUGUAGUCUCUUCAUCAUCUUUUUCCUUCGUCUUACCCUUUUUCUCAACUUGUUCCUAUUUUAGGAUUCUGCACUCCUUCAUAUAAUGUCCAUUUUUCUUACAAUAAUAGCAUGCAAUAUUUUUCCUUGACUCAAACCUGUCUCUGAAUUUGUUUUUGCUGUUGUGGGAUUCUCUACUUUUGCUUCUCCCUUUUCUUUCUUUCUUUUCUGUCACCAGGACCUAAGAUUCAUAGAUAAUUCCUUGUCCUUCCUUCUGAACUCUUCAUUCAUUAUGGGUUCUUUUGCAAUGGCCAUGGUCAACACACUGUUUGGAGCUGAAUUACUGGCGGAGACCACCAUGAUCUUUCAACUAUCCGAUAGUAAACUAAAUAAUAACAAAGCCUUCACUUCAUCAUCUAAAUUCAAAUUUAACAUAGAUGCCUGGUUUAUCAAUUCCUGAAAAUUAUUCAGGUGUUCAGUCAUAUCUUCCCCAUCUUUAUAUCUCAUCCGAGUAAUCUACUUCAGACAACUAGCCUUGUUCAAACCGGUCUUCCGUUCAUACAUACUUUCAAGUUUUUUCCAUAAUACAUCAGCUUUAGUGUCAUUUGCAAAAUGUUGAAAAAUAUUUUGACCAAUCCAUUUUCUAAUAUUACCAACAAUUUUUCUAUGCAUAAUAGCCCAUUUUUCAUCACUCAUAUCACUUGGUUUUACCCUAUCCCCUGGAACAGGUUCAAACAAAUCUCUACAAUAUAAGUAAUCUUCUAUUCAAGACUUUCAAAUCGAAUAAUUAGUAGCAUUCAAUUUUAUCAUGCAACCACUAUUCGAAUCAUUCAUUUUUAACCAGUACAAAUGAGCAACCUAACCUGACUGAUCUGAUAUCACUUGUUGGGAAAAGGGUACCGGUAUAGGCACACAAUAUCAGAGUUAGCCCAGAACAAAUUUCUCUUUCCCCAAGAACCAGUUAAAAUAGGAAUAAAUCAAAUCAUCAAAUAAUAAAAUCAACAGUGAUAAAAAAAUGUAAGGAAAAAUAAGGGCACAGGAUACUAAGAUUUUUACGUGAAAAAUCCAAAUUAAAAAAAAUCACGGGACCUAGUCUAGUUAAAAAUCUCCACUAUCACAACAAUGAGAAUAGACGAGUCUACCCGAAAUAUUCGGAUGACAAUAAUAUCAUUAAUACCAAUCAAGCAAAAUUGCUACAAAAUCACUCCAAAAACUACAACAGUCAAAGAAGUAGGUUUGGAAAUGUGUUACCAAACGAAAAGGAAAUCUGAAAUCUGAACGUGUAGAUGAGUAGAGAUUGACAAGAGGAUCGCGUGUGUAAAAUUUUGUCUCAAUCGAACCUCAAAUCACCUUCCAACUGAGACUUCAAAGUUACAAAGAAUUUUCUCUCUCUAGCUCUCACUCUUUCUCUCUCUUCGUCUCUCUCAAAGUGGCGGCUGUAACCUUUGUUCUCACACCAGGACCGAAGAAUGAAAUCCCUCAUGCGGCUGCUCACUUUUCUUUUUAAGUCAAAUCUUAAGUUAAACCUAAAAGUAUUUGGUUUUGUGGUUUGGCCCACAAAUGGACUGGUUCACAAACCCAACAACCAAGUAGAGUACGAGGAACUUCAAUUGGACAAAAUAUUGGAUCAUUAAUAAAUUUCAUUUCUUAUCCUUAGGAGAGCAUAUAAUAUGGUAGCUAGCUAGUCCAAUAACAAGUCAAUUCAGUGUAUUUCGAUCUUUACAAAUGAGAAAAAGGUAGUUGGAUUCUUCAAUCGAGAUGUUUGGACAAUUAUUUAGCAACUUGUAUUCAUGUACUGCUAAAAAAUUAACUUUUUUUCUUUUCUGGUUGUUUAUAAGAAGGGGAUGCUCACCUUAAUAACAAGGCAUGUCAUUGGCGUGCCUGACAUUAUACGUAGGUUUAGUAGUUUUCAUCUACCUGUGAGAUUCGGAUCGAGUGCUUCCAGUACAAUAGCUAAGUCUUUUCCAGUUGAACUACAAGAAGUUGACAAAAAUGUUAACUUUGCUCACCAUCGUUUACUACAAAUAGUGCUUAAGGUACACUCUAACGUGUAUGCAGUUAACAAAAAAAAUAUACUUAUCAAAAUUGUCCAUUUAAAAUAGUUUUUUAUGGGUUUAUGGGUCAAAUUCCAUUAUAAUAUAAAUACAUAUAGAAAGAUGAUGGAAGUGUACAUAGCAAAACACUUGGGACUUAGGAGUUGUGUGAGGAAGUCAUAGUUAAUGGAUAACUAAACAAAUAACUCUAUUCUAAUUAGUUAGGUUGGAUGGUUCGGGAGAGGGAGGGAGUGUGAGUAAGAGGUCUUGUUUCGAACCUUUCCAUUUAUACUAAAAAAAAUACCUACCUUCUGAUUGAAAUAACUAUAUGCUGAUUAUGGAAAACUUUUUUUUUUUUUUUGGAUAAAUUGGGACAAGUUGCCCUUAUAAUUAGAGGUAUAUUAGAAAUUUUUAAAAGCGAUAUUGUGUAUUUAUACCACACAGUGAUACUCUCUCUUUAUAUUGUAUUAGAGGUCGUCUUAUUAGAUGUGGAGAAUAGAAUUAUUUGGUGUUGUAUUUGAUAUUUAAUAGUUUUUGUCAUCAAGCUACAAAUGCAAUUAAAAAAUGGUGUCUUUUCAGUUGAGCUAUAAUAAGUUGGCAAAAAUGUUAACUUUACUCACCAUUUGUAACAAUGUUAACCUAUUGGAUAUGGAGAGUAGAAUUAUUUGGUGUUGUAUUUGAUAUUAAUAGUUUCAUUAUCAAGCUACGAAUGCAAUCUAAAUAUGGUUUCAGUUGAAUUCAGUAUUUACUCAACCAAAAAAAAAAAAAAAAGAAUUCAGUAUUUAACAUUUUUAAAACACCAUGUUUCCAUUCCUUUGCCCUUGCUCCCACCUUAGACAUCAAUUCGGAAUCGGGAGUGCGAACGUUAUCGGUUCAUUUAUUAGUCCCGCCGGCUAAUGAAUUGAGCCAUUGAGUUAGAUCUACCAUUAAAAAAUGCAGUUCCAAACUGCGAACUAUACCAGUCAACCUCAUCAAAUUAGUGUGGAUCUUCAUCUUGUUCAUCGUUCUUCAAUAUCUCAUCAUCAACCAAUCAACGCGGAUAAUAGCCAGCUGCGAAUUCCGCUUUAGCAGGUACAGGUCCCACGUAAACCGUGGUCAGCAAUUCUAGCCAAGAUCCAGGUUACAUUAGACCCCUCAACUUUACUUCCCUAAUUCUUGGCCAACUUUCUUAAUCCAUAGUAGUUGUCUUUUUCAGCCUGCCUUAAUUAUAAACUCACCAUAAUGGUAGGUGCCUCUGGUUUGCUGACGCCAUUUCUGCUGAUCCGCUGCUGUCAAACUAGAGGCGUCAAUCAUAGUAAUUUACUUGUAUUGGUUCGACCGAGCAUGCUCUCGUUAAUAAGUGGAUUUGGAUACGCAAUAUAUUUUGAAUGGGUUUAAAUAAUGAUACAAUUAAAUCCAUUUGAUUCACGUGCAGCAAUUUGACUCAUCUCACUCAUUUAUAUUUAUUUAAAAAUAAUUAUACAUUCAAAUUCAAUUUUUAGUGCGUAUUAAGGGGAUAAAUCUGAAUUUCUCACUAAUUUAAUCACAAUAUCUUAAAAUGCAAGUGUAAAUUUUUUUUAUACGGUUCAUUUGAACGCAUGCUACAUGUAUAAAAAGUGAAUUUUGACCUUAAACAUAGGUUAUAUAUCGUACUUUCAAACAUGUAUAUUCAUGUUAAGAAGAAGAAGAAGAAGAAGAAGAAAGCUUACACUAACCAUGUGCGAAAAAUUACUCCUUCUUAGUGUUAUAUAUCUACGAUCCUCCUCCGAUUGCUUCUGUAGUAGUGAAUGAAUACAUUUAUCAAACUUUAAAAAUUUUAUACUCAAAUUAUCCUUGUGAUAAUAUUAGAUUUCAAUAACAAAAUUUUUCACAAACUAAAUAUUCUGAAAAAUUUUAUUAAAUCACGUAAUAAUUUACUUCUUUUUCAUCAAAGUCGAUGGGUUCUUUUAAAAGGUCAUUCUAAACCGACGUCAUUGCUGACAAAUGCAACCAACUAGAAUGCUUGCCUUGAUUCUCGACAUUUAUUGCAUCAUCCAUUAAUUUGAUACUCCCUCCGUCCCGUUUUCUUAGUCUUUGUCUUUUUUUGCACACAGAUUAAGAAAGUGUAAUUAAUUUGGUUGGAAACAUAAAUUUAGAUUAAUAAUUUCCUAAAAUACUCUUAUGCUAAUCAAUGUAGUCAAUGUAUUCAAUGUAUUGGAAAAACUCAAUGUAUUCAAUGUAGUGGGUUAGUAUUUAAUAACAAUGUAUUAAUAACAAGAUAUUUAAUAAGGGUAUUUUAGACAAUUUGAAAGAUUACUACAUUUCUUAAUGGGAAAGUGGACUAUAAUUUGGGACGGACGAAAAAGGAAAACAAGACUAAUAAAGUGGGACGGAGGGAGUAGUAUAUUUUGCAGUUGUGCGUUCACUAUUAGACUAGUGUUCCUUAUUCUCCCACAUAAGACUAGGACUGCAAAUUCUGAAAAUAGCGGCACAAACAAAGUAGAGAGUGCUAUCUAUGGUAACUCACUAUCAAUCAAACAGAAAGUCGCCAGCACCGCCUAAUAAAUACGGAAAGUCGAGAGCACCGCCUAAUAAAUAAUGAAUUCCUGCUAACCAACCUCAUUCAACACGCGUGCCUCGUGUCGCCAACUUAUUUGGUAAAGCCCUGCAAGCAUUUUGAGAAACAAAAAUGCUACAUUACGACGGUAAGCAAUUACACAUGCCUUUUUGUUUGAAAUGCCAAAAAUCUAUACCUUCAUCUUUUACGUCAUGGUGAAGGUGACAGGUUCGACAAAAAAAUCAUAGGGAGCCGGCCAAUCAAAGGGGAUUAAACCGUCACUGGACCGAAUCAAACGGUACAACCGUCUCAUUCUCUGGGGAAGGAAAUUGAUUUAACGGGACCAUGGGAGAGCCUUUGAAGAUUAAUGGUGAAGGUGACAGGUUCGACAAAAAAAUUUUAGGGAGCCGGCCAAUCAAAGGGGAUUAAACCGUCACCGGAUCGGACCAAACGGUACAACUGUCUCAUUCUGUGGGGAAGGAAAUUGAUUUAAUGGGACCAUGGGAGAGCCUUUGAAGAUUAAAUUUCCACCAACCCAAACAGGUACAACUGCACCGUUGAUAGAAAGUGUUGGGAUAUUUUGGAUUUAGAGAUGCAGGGGUUUUUGUAACCACCGCCUAUACACUUGAGGAGGGACUGUCCCUUCCUGGUGGCCAUGGGACUAUGCUUAGAGAUCAAUGGAUAUGCAAACAUGCUUGAGUGACUAAAAGAUAGAGGUCGAAUACACUUGAAUUCUGUAUAUUCUUCUAGUUUGCAAUAUUUAUAUGUACUUUGAUUUAUGUCCAAAAUCAAAAUUCAGGCUGCAAAUUCAAUUUUCUAUUUUAGAAUACUACCUAGAUGUAUCUCUUACCACAGAAGCGUUUGUUGAAAAACAAUACUAUUUUAUUAAGGGGUCUAACAGGAGCCCAUUGGACACUCGUUAAGAUAUAUUUCAGCUAUCAUAUUUUUGAAAGUAUAAGAUUAAUUAGCGAAACUAAAUAGAUAUAAGGGAUGGUAGAUAAUAUUAAAUAGAAAAAGUAUAUAAAUAUAAAAGAGAAUAAUAAUUAUUAAUAUGUGUGUAUAUAUAUAUACACACACACACACACAUAGUAAGUUAGGUGAAUUUUAGAUAUCUUAACGAGUAUCCAAUGGAUACCCGUUAGAAAAACCCUUCAUUAAUCAGUUAUACUAUUGCCUUCCCCCCUUCUAUAUCACCUUAUUCAUCCUAAGAAAAAAAUUUUCUUGCUAAUUAAAACAUUUCUAUACAUUUUACCUGUAUAAUAUUAGAUCAUCAUGAUGCAAAGAUAACGAAAUGGGCUAAAAUUUCCCUAAGUUUGAAUUCGUUCUUUUCUAGAUAUAUUUCUUAAGGUUUGCUUUAGUAGUUCAAGGAACUGCAUACCAAUUAUAUAUGUAUUCUCUGUGUAUGCCUCAAAUUUUGAGAGAGAAAUUCCAUCAGGAUGGCUUUCUGUCCAUUUAAAAACUAAAGCGUUAUCCUUUCCUUUUGGCAAUGUGUUAACCUUCUCCAUAAAUGGUUGUUCGGCUUUCAGGUGAACAGAAUUCUCCUGAUUUCCACCUUUAGUUCUCUUUGCUGUGGCGAUGUUGCCGGAAUGAUGUAUACAGCAAAAUGAGCUGGAUUUCUUUUUCUUUAGUUUCUUUUUUCAGUGUUAAUUUUGCUGCAGGCUAAAAGUGAUGUGUUGUCAGCUAGUGCUGCACAGUUGAAGUACUUCUCCACCACACACCGGGGGGCGGGCCACCCCCAAACAAAAAGGAAAAAAAAAAAAAACUAUUGUUCUUAGGAACAACUAUUGCGUUACACAAGGGGAAGCAUUGUUUAGGCACAGGAAUUGAUUUUAUUGACACUUUUACGCAAAAAUAGCAAUCUUGCAUGGAAUUUAUGUAACCUCAUUUUUCACAAAUAAUUCACAGCUGAUGUUAUUCAGGGAAAAGAAGAGCUUCAGAUACAGAUUUACGAGUUUGUUGAGAAACGUACUUUACUACCAUCUACGACAUGGAUUUUCCUAAUGUUGAAUGCCUAUUAGCAGCACAUUUAAAUCAUAUCUCAUUUACCAUACUGAUAUACACAGUCAUAAUUAAUGUACUCCUUGCGUUUAGAUGUUUUUUUUUUUUGAAUUAGUUACACUUUCUAAAAAAAUUAAAUACUUGUACCUUCUCUUAAUAAUGAGUGGCCAUUAGGCGCCUAUUAGUUAAAUCGAAUUUCAACCUCAAAGUUAGCCCAAAAUUUCUUUGGAUAAAUUUUACAUACAUUGAUAGUGUAUAUACUAUCACCGUUAGAUUUAUGACACAUAUGCAAAAGUUGAAUUUCAUAUUCAAAUUUUGUAUAGUUAUCAUUCAUCCAAAACUUACACUGUUAGCCAACGUAGGAAACAUUAAUCUAAUUUUUUUUUUCUCGUAAUCAAUUUCGAAGGCUUAUCAUGGAUAAACGAAGCUUUAACAGCUAUAUAUCUAAUCAUAAUUAUGCAACCCUUCGUGCUGCUAGAAUAUGUUUCGUGCUGCUAGAACAUGCGAGUGUCAACGCUGUACUUCCAAUUGAUUAACAUGCAUUUUCUCAGACAAAUGUGCCGUUGUAUGUGACUUAAUUAUCCGAACACGGGUACUAAACUCCAACAUACCUCCCUUUCUUGCCCAAAUGAAGAAAUAGUUUAGUAGUUAAAUUUACUCUCAUAGAGUUUCAGAAAGAAAAUGUUGUACCAUUAUUCUAGUUCAAUAUACGUGCCUGUACAAUAUAGUACUAUUAAUAUUUUACUGCCUCUUCUUUUUUUAAACCUUCCCACCCUCCCCUAAGCCUUCCCUACCCCCAAAUCUAAUAGCGAGGUUCGAACCCUAAUUUGUCAGGCAAUACAUCAAGUCCCUUGCCAAUUAGGCCAACGGAUGUUGGUCAUAUUACUACCUUUUACUAUCAUAAUGAGAAAUUCCACAAAUAUCUUAUCUUAUCUUAAACUACAUAGAGCGGAGAAGCUCCAGCUACAGUUGAUUGUCUUGGUUUCAACGUGAUUCUCCAGCUGAUUUCAUCCUUUUUGGUCCUUUCCAAGCUUCCGUGCAGCCCCUUUGGCUGCUGGGUGCUGUCGAGUCGAGUCGAGUCGAGCUUGAGUAGUGCACUACUCGAGCUCGACUCGAGGCAAAAUAACUAAGCUCGAGCUCGAGCUCGUCAAGCUUUUAAAAUUCGAGCUCGAGCUCGAGCUCGAUAUCGAUUUAUGGAACUCGAGCUUGAACUCGAGCUCGAAUUUAAUUAAAUGUAAUUAAUUCAAAUCAAGCUCAAUCGAGCUUAUUCGAACUCAAGUAAUAAAAAUUAAUAUUUAAUAUAUAAUUUUAAAUAAAAAAUAUUAUUGACAUUUCACAAUAAUAAAAAUUAAAAUAUAUAUUAUAAAAAACUCGAUAGAGCUCGUCGAGCUCUCGAGUAUUAUAUUUCCAAACUCGAGCUUGACUCGAUAGCUCUAACGAGCAACUCGAGCUCGAGCUCGAGCUCGAGCUGCUGACCAAGUAGCUCACGAGCUCGAGCUGAGCUACUUGGUUCAGCUCCAGCCCUAGCUGCUGGUGCCUUUUUGCUCAUUUCUGCUUUUGUUCCCUUCUUCCAAUUGUGCUCUUGUCCUGGUUUUCUUUGUAAUUUUAUGCUCAAUUUUGUCCUUUUGUUUGCUGUCCAUCCUUCGGCUGCUGCUGCAAUUGUUAUCUAACAGUUUUGUCCUUUUGUUUCUUGUGCAUCUUCCGCUGCUGCAAUUGUUAUCUAACUUUAUUGACAAAAAUAUAUUAAUUUAUCGAUUUGAUUUAUUAACUUCCUUCUUUAACUUUCUCCUUCUUCAAAAUAUAAUUUCCUUUGCUCUUUUAUAUUUAUUAACUUUCUCUAAAAUAUAUAUUAGCAAAGAUAUUAAUUUUCUAAAAAAUAUACAAAUCAAAAAAAAUUCUGUGUGCAUCUAAUAUAUGCAGAACAAUAUAAAUUCUAUGUGGUACAUUAUCUAUUCGUUGAUUUUGAAUGAGAUAUUAAUUCAUCAAUAAAUAAAUUGCUUCAUGAUUAAAUAAAUAUUUAUUCAUAUAUGCUAUUCAAUCAAACAUUAUUAAUUUUUGAUAUCAAUGAACUAACGAACUCUUCAAAAUUGUAUUAUCUUUAAAUUUUAGAAUCUUAUUAAUUCCCAAAAAAAUUGACUAAGAUAUUGAUUGAUCAAUAAAUAAAUUGCUUCAUGAUUAAAUAAAUAUUUUUUUCAUAUAUGCUAUUCAAUCAAGCAUUAUUAAUUUUCGAUAUCAAUAAACUAACAGACUCUUUGAAAUUGGGUUAUCUUUAAAUUUUUGAAUCUUAUUAAUUCCCAAAAAAUCUUAUUGUUUUUGGGAAGGUAAUCCAAAAAAUCGCGUCUGCAUUAAGGAAUGGAAGGUAGCAGCUGCACAACUACAACAAACAAAAGUAAAGAAACAAUAAUUUCAAAAAUGUAACUUCCAUAAUAUUUGUUAACUACUAAAUUAUUAAUUUAAAGCUUUUGCAUUUUCGAGACUAUUUUUUCGAGACUAAAAAAAUAUUAAAUAUCAAAAAAUUACGCAGGUCACUAAAAAUCCUAUGUAUAUCUAAUACAUACUAACGAAUAAAAAUUCUAUAUGUAUCUAAUCAAUAUAUAUAAAUCGAUAAUGCGGUUUUGUAUUAAUGCAGAUCAAUGAAAAUUAUAUGUGUUUAAUCUAUAUCUAAUGUAUAUAAAUUAAUAAUACUGCCAUGUAUUAACAUAUAAUAAGUGUUUUUUUAUCAAAUAAUUAUAAUUUCGAGACUAUUUCUAUAUUUACAAUUUUCUCUCCUUCUUUAUAUUUAUCCGCUUAUUUAUUAACUCGCUUAUUAAUUAAUUUUGUCGAAAGUGUGUAUAUUGACAAAAAUAUUAACUAUUAAAAAAAUGAAAAUCACUAAAAAUGCUAUCCACAUCUAAUACAUAAAAUAGCGUUCUUUUUAUGUUUAUUCGCUUAUUUAUUAGUUUUCUCCAAAAUAUAUAUUAGCAAAAAUAUUAAAUAUGAAAAAAAUGCAAAUUCUUAAAAAUCCUACAUACAUCUAAUAUAUGCAAAUGAAUACAAAUUCUAUGUGUAUCCAAUUAGUAUAUAUAAAUCAAUUAUGAUGUUUCGUAUUAAAUAUCAAAAAAAUAUGUAAGUUGCUAAAAAUCCUAUGUACAUCUAAUACAUACAAACAAAUAAAAAUUCUAUAUGUAUCUAAUCAAUAUAUACAAAUCGAUUAUGGUGUUUUGUAUUAAUGCAGAUCAAUGAAAAUCAUAUAUGAUUAGCAUGCAUCUAAUAUAUAUAAAUUAAUAAUUCUACUUUGUAUUAACGUAUAAUAAGUGUUAUUUAUGUGAAAUAAUUAUAAUUCGACACUAUUUCUAUGUUUAUAAUUUUCCGUCCUUCUUUAUAUUUAUCCGCUUAUUUAUUAACUCACUUAUUUAUUAACUUUGUCAAAAGUGUGUGUGUGUAUUGAAAAAAAUAUUAAAUAUCAAAAAAUUAUGCUGGUCACUAAAAAUCCUUUGUAUAUCUAAUACAUACUAACGAAUACAAAUUCUAUAUGUAUCUAAUCAAUAUAUAUAAAUCGAUUAUGCUGUUUUGUAUUAAUGCAGAUCAAUGAAAAUUAUAUAUGUUUAACCUAUAUCUAAUAUAUAUAAAUUAAUAAUACUGGCUUGUAUUAACAUAUAAUAAGUGUUAUUUAUGUCAAAUAAUUAUAAUUUCGAGACUAUUUCUAUAUUUAUAAUUUUCUCUCCUUCUUUAUAUUUAUCCGCUUAUUUAUUAACUUGCUUAUUUAUUAAUUUUGUCGAAAGUAUGUAUAUUGACAAAAAAUAUUAACUAUGAAAAAAAUACACAAAUCGCUAAAAAUGCUAUGCACAUCUAAUACAUACAAUAGCCUUCUUUUUAUGUUUUUUCGUUUAUUUAUUAAUUUUCUCCAAAAUAUAUAUUAGCAAAAAUAUUAAAUAUGAAAAAAUGCAAAUUCUUAAAAAUCCUAGGUACAUCUAAUAUAUGCAAAUGAAUAAAAAUUCUAUGUGUAUCCAAUCAGUAUAUAUAAAUCAAUUAUGUUGUUUCGUAUUAAUACAAAUCAAUGAAAAUCAUAUGUACUUAACAUGUAUCUAAUGUAUAUAAAUUUAAUUAAUUUUCUCCAAAAUGUAUAUAUUAGCAAAAAUAUUAAAUAUGAAAAAAAUAUGCAAAUCGCUAAAAAUUCUGCGUGCAUCUUAUAUAUGCAAAUGAAUACAAAAUCUAUGUGUAUCUAGUCAAAUAUAUAAAUUGAUUAUGCUAUUUCGUAUUAAUACAAAUGAAUGAAAAUCAUAUGUACUUGACAUGUAUCUAAUAUAUAUAAACUUAAAAAUAAAUCAAUCCAAUAUUUAUUGAUUCAAAAAACAAUUAUUCGAUAAAUAAAUACAAAUAUAUGAUUCUAAAUUUAUAAUUUCAAAUUGUUAAAAAUCCUUAAUUUGUAUAUAUUAUAUUUAUGAAUUUAUAUUCUUCACUAUAUUUCUUUUCUUUUAGUUUUUCUAAUACUAAACUCUUCUAUUAUCUAACACACGAUUUUGAAUCUUUGGUGAGUUUCAUACAAAUUACAUUCCAAUCAAUAUAAUUCAUACACUACAUUGCUACUCUCAUUUCAUAAUACAACUACAUUUUUUCCCUAUUUUCUAUCUCAGAUACUCAUUGGUGAUAUACCCUCGCAUAUACAAACAGACAACAUAAGAGUCAUUAAUUGCUAUCAUGCUAAAACUCGAUGGAUCUUUCAGCUAGAAGGAAUAGAAAUAACAGAAGGUUGGCCAAUAUUCACACAAAAACACUUCUUACAUGAAGGAAGUGUCAUCCUGUUCACCCUGUUCAAUGAAAACAAUUAUCAUUUGCAACUCAUCAGCAGAGACUUUAUCCAACAAUCAUAAUUAAACGUGUCCACUAUAGCUUCUUGCACAAAGCAAUUAUCUGUUUCCUAAAUUUUCUUUAUUCUACUUCCACUUAUAUUUAACAAUAUAAAAAUAAACAUAUCGAAAUUAUUUUGAAUUAUUAAUUUAUCUCAACUCUUAACAAAUGAUUUACAUUCCAUUAAUUUAAAUAAUAUUUACAUCCUGUUACUCUUAAAAAAUUAAAUACAAAUCACAACAAUAUUACUAUAUCUAUUUAUAAAUAUAUUAAUCCAAUAUAUUGUUCCUCUAUUUAUUAUUCCAACCCUACUAUGAUAUAAAACACUCUAAACAUUAAUUAGGUUGACUCACAAGACUAUACGGUGCCUACAAUCAUUGAGCUACUUUUAUUUCUCCAACAGAGUUUCACAUGCUAUUGAAUGAGAUUUAUGAAUUGGAAUUAUGAGUUGGUGUAACAUGACUUGAAAGAUGGAAGAAGUGUGUUAAUGCAUAAAAAGUUUGUCAUUUAAAGUUUAGUGUCAUCAAUAAAUAUCUCUGCAUCUAAUACCCUAAACCUAAGUGAUUAAAAUUGUGUCACCAACAGAAUAGGCAUCAAUUUUUAAUGCCUUCACAACCAGCACUCGUUCUCUUGGAUGAAAUUUAGUGUGACAUGUCAAUGAGAUACAGUUGAUUUAUUCUAGGCCCAAAAUUUGGUACGAUCACAUGACCAAAUAGAUAUUUAGAAAUGUUGAACAAUAAUUUCUCACAGUGUCCUGUAAACAAUCAUUAUCAAGCAAUAGUAGAUGAACAUGGGUCUAUCCCACAUCGAAAGAUCGUGGGAUCUUCACUCUGGAUUUAAGGUCCAUGGGAGCAUCCUCCUGUCACUAAUUGGUUGGAUGGAUGUUUCUCGUGGAUCCCACCUUAGAUUGCUCGUUUGGGCCGGUGUGUUCGGUAUUAUCUCUGCGUGUCUGUUCAUUGUUUGGGUGUGUGUGUUUAUUUUCCUUCGGCAAAAAAAAAAAUAGUAGAUGAACAUGGCAAUUCGGUCCUACAAUAAAUUGCAUUUUUUUUUUAGGCAUAGAUGACUUAUUUGCCUUUAACUUUGUCGGCUACAAUAAAUUGUAGGCUUAGAUGUAGGUAGAUGAUAUUCAUGAUCUUUUCUCAGAUACUUUAGACUACGAGUAACAGAUGCCUAAUACCUAAUUUUUUUCGUUUUUUUUUUUAAAAAAAACCUCCCCCACUCCCCUAUUCCUUCACUGUCCCAAACCUGCCGGGCAGGAUUUGAACUCCAACCUAUCACGCGAACGUUCAACUCUUUGGUCAACAGUGAUGCUUAAUACCUACUUUAAUUAAUAAUGUGCUCUUUUUUCCUCUAAGAACGGAUUUUGGAUCCUUACAUACUCCCUGUCCGUGACAAAUUAUUUUAUGAAACUAGACGAGGAAAAUACAACAUGGAAAGUGUACAUUCAUCGAUACACAAAUGGACAUGCAUAUCUCCUUUAAGUUUACAUGUGAUUUUUUCUAAUUAGUAAAAAAAAAAUAAUAAAUAGAUGGGCUAGGAGAUGGUAAAGACUGGAUAUCAAAUUCCUAACUCAUGGAGAUUAAUUCAAAUUCUGAGUUUUAAAUGGUAUUAAUUCAAAUUCUGAGUUUUAAAUGGUUGAAAUCCACUUCAAAUAUAUAUUAGCCAUAAGAGAUUAUUCAAACGGUGGGAUGGAUUUGGGCUGGAUGUGGAAAUCCAAAUCCACCCAUCCAAACACACCCUAAUAUUAUUCACCUAUCUAAUAUGCCCUUAAUUCUUUGGAAAAUUCAUGUGAUUUUAGGACUGAACUGAAGGAAGCCCCAAAAUUUGAUCUCUGUUUGAUUCAAUAAUAUCUUUCCUGAUCUCCCAACAAAUGUCUUUUUUUUUUUUGCCCUCUUUUGGUUGGGGAACCAUUCCUUCGAGCUCUUUGACUUUUGGACUCUAAUGAGCCCUUUAGCAAAUCGGAGGCCCAACUACUUGUAUGAUAGUAUACGGACAACGGAGGAUUAGCCUGUCUUCUGGGCCCAAUUCUCUACCCUGCAUCUCUACCGUCCAUCGUGAUCCAACGGUUGACGUUCUCUCCCUCCAUAUAGCAACCAAAAAAUUGCAAAAGCACCGUCCAUCUCCGGCUUUUGGCGGGAAAAGUGAGUGAAACUGAAAACCUCAGGAAGGAGUAACACUCUCUCUCCAGCUUCCGCUACCACUGCCACUGCUACUACUCCGCCGGAGAAGAGAGAUUGGGAACAAUGGCUCCUCGGAAGAAAGCUACAACAGCUUCUAAGAAAUCGGCAACUAAUCAGAACAAUCAUCUUCACCAGCAGAAGCAAUCUCAGCCCUCUAAAUUUGGAAUCCAACACUUCUUUGAGCGCCACUCCCAAAACCAAUCUCAAAACCCUAAAAAGCCCAUCAAUCCCUCGAUUGGUAAUUCUAAUAGUUCUACGAUCGCUGCAGUCCCCAAAUUUACGGAUGGUGAUCCUCCAGUUCCUCCGAACGCUAGUAAUGAUUCGGCUUCCGUGCCUGAGAAGUCUGGAAAUGAGUCCGAUUCUCGGAGCUUUGAUACGAAAAAUGAGGGAUUGAGCUGUGAAAACUUGAGAAUUGGUGUGAAUGAGGAAGUUGGCGGAGUUGAGAAAUUGGAAAAAGAGAGAAAUAAGGAAGGGAAUGAGCUGAAUAAUCCGUCUCAGAUUACGCCUACAGAUGUAAUAGAAAUCGAGGAGAAUCCAGAUGAGGUUCGGGAGGUUUCACCUGAGGUUUACAAGGGAAAGCCUCCCAAGCGGUUCAAGUUUUCGCCAGGAAUGGUAAUUGUUUUUUCAAGCUUUGUUUUUUUUUUUUUUGGAGGUGUCUGAUUUUGGACUUAAGCUAUAGUGCUUAAUCAAAUAUUGUACCAUAUUUAAUCGCCCCCUUCCCUCUCCCAGCUUCUUAAAUCCCACCCCCUCCCCUACUAGAAUUUUUUUUAAAAAAAGUAAUGAGCAACUUCUUGCGAUUUCCAUGCUCCGUGCUAGCAAAUAUCAUGUAUUAUUGUUUGAAAAAGGGAAAAUUUAAACAAUGUACAAAAAAUUAAGAAGAGAAAAUACAUACAAAAGAAGCGUUUUUAUGGAAGAAAACUUCCCAACCCUAAUAAUGAGUUCUAGGAUGAAGAGCUGAAAUUAAUUUUUAGCUUUAAUAUUGCAGUCAUAUAGCUGAAUUUCUUUUGCUUUCCUUUCAUUUUUGGGUUAAAAUAUUUAAACUGCAUUUAAGUUCAACUAUUACUGCAGAUAUACCUUAUAGUAAAAAAAAAAAAAAAUUGGUUCUCGAAUUAAGAUAAUUGAAAGAGCUGCCUCACAAGUUGGAGGGUGGGAUUAUUUGCUUUAAGUGUUACUGAUGCCAUGAGAACCUAAACUGAAUCCUUCUACAGAGGAAGAAAAGUACUUUUGUGAGGUUUUUAAAUAUAUUGUCUAACAUUUGAACGUCAUUGUGGUAGCUGAUACAGCAAAGUCAGGAUGAUGGAGGCGAUGAGGUCACAUGGAAAAUUUCUCCAAUAAAUGAGCGACUUCAUUCAAUGUCAAAGAAUUUUCCUGAAGUGGUCAAGGUUUUGAAGGAUUCUACACGGUUUAACUGUUUAAAUUUUCAGCCAAGUUCCAUGACAAAGGUUUCGCAAAUAUUUUCCUUUUCUCUUAAUGUUCUUUUUUCCCAAGGCACUGAAGGCUGAACCUCAAUGUUGGUAUUGUUAUAUACAGACUUCUCCCAGUGCAGCAGGAAAGCUUGAAAAGUGGCUUUCGUCUCCACCUGUCAAGGCUGCUGAAAAUUCUUUGACGUGCUCAGAUAGGGUUAGUUUGAGAAAGCAUACACGAAGACACAUUGUGUGUAAGGUUGAAAAUCUUGCAAUCAGAAAUAGUAAGAAUGAUUCUGAAGAGGUUUGUAGUCAAAGUCCCUUUAAGACUCCGCCAUCCCUGUCCUAUUGCCAUGAUAAGGUGAUAAUUCUUCAUUUUGCAAGAUUAAGUUGACUAACUCAAGAAAAUUUAUUUAUCUAACGAUUUAUGCCAUAAAUUAAAUGCAGCCUCAUGAUGGAGUCAUUAUUCAUGGAGAACCUGAUCAGCACAAUUCAAGGCCACAUAAAAAGGUUGUAAGACUACCUUGCAUUUGAUUCAACAAAGCUAUCAUCUUGUUCCUAAAUGUUCAUCCAUAAGUUUCAAAUACUGCUAUGGAGAAUUACAUGAGUUGAGUUGCUCAUUGUGCCAGUCUCUUUUAUUUAUGGUUUCAGGCACUGAUUGAACUAUUGGAUGAAGUAGAGGACGUAAUUUCUGUUGAAGAAUCGGUAUGUGAUAAAACAGAAGCGUGGUUUGAUAUAGGUAGAGCCAUCAAUGAGCCGGAUUCCAUUGUAGAGCAACAGUUAAUAAACACAAAAGAACUAGUCGAGAAGGAACCUUCAAACAAUUAUUUUCUUGUAUUGGAGGUAUGGAACAAUAUUCUUCUAUUCAGCUAGACACGUGAUGGUUUAUUGACAUUUCCCCCAUCGCUGCAGGUUUCUGAGAAGCAUGGAAAUAUUGAUUCUUCUGGUUCACGGAAUUCUUUUAAGGUUCACAAUUUACUUAAAUAUAGAAAAUUAGAAGGUUUGAUAUAAAUGGUCAUUUUAAAAGCUUAAACUCUGGCUUCUAGAUUAUGCGGGUACUGAAUGAGCAAAAUGGAGAAGAGAAGGCAGUGCAUUUAUGGGAUGAAUGGUAAGCAAAUCUAGAACCUUCUCUUUGCAUUCACUUAAUCUACUGUCUUAUACAUAGUCCUUUCUGUAAAAUGUCUUAAUUUUCAGCACAUCAUGACUUAUCCCGCACCAUCUCAAAAGAUGGAGUUGGAAACUCUUGAGCUUACAUAUGUCUUGUUCGGGCAAAAUGCCUUUGCUAUUAGAGUCUUAGCCUUGAUGAGAUAGUACCAAGUUCUGGUAGACUAUUGGCUAGUGUUAAUAAGUUUAGGCUUUCAUACUUAUAAUCAUUUAUCCCACUCAUGCUUGGUACAGGUCUCCAUAAAAUUUUUUGACUGGUCAAUAGGAAGUAAAAUGAACAAACUGCUACAUGAGGAGCAUUCUCCUGAGUAGCACCAUAUUUUUCGUAUCUCUAGCAACAUACAUUCUUAAUCUUCAAUAGUUGCAAGGUGAACUUUACUGUUAAUAUAAGAAGUUCAACUCCAUCUUUUUUCAAUCUGGAAGCAGUGAAAUCGGAUGCACUUUUUGAUUUUCAAUUAGAAUUGCUGAUCACAUUACUGUAGUUUCCAUAUAAAAUCAACUGUUACUUGUAUUUCUCAUCCAGUUGUUUUGUUCAUCAAAUAUUCUGAACCACCCCCUAUUUGCUCCUUUGGUAUUGGAUUCCAAAUGGUGAAUAUCUGUGAGUGAAAUCUUUGUGUUAUUUAGUUGUUAUAUCUGUUCUUUUUUUUUUUUUUUCAGGUUUUAUAGUGUUGUUUCACCUGGAGAUACCGUUCACAUCAUUGGUGAAUUUGAUAACGAGGGAAAGUGUGAUCUCAAUCAUGAGAAGAAUUUUUUAAUUGUUCAUCCUGAUAUUUUGGUGUCUGGAACUCGGGUAUUAUGAAGAAUCAAUUUAGACUUGUCUAAAUUGUGCUUUUCAAAUUAUAUCACUUCUAUCUUAGAUGACAUACGCUUGUCUCCCUUAUCUGAAAACUUCCCAUAUCAAAUUCAGCGCAUCUUUUUCCCUAAUUGUUGUUAUUCAAUCUAUACUACUAGGUAGCUGCCAGUUUUUCUUGUUCAAGGCGCACAGUCCUGGAUGAAAGGCUAAAAUCUAAUGAAUAUGCAACUGCAGCACUGGUUGGCACUUUGCUGCAUCAGAUAUUUCAGGUGAAAAUUUGUUUCAUCUUCUGUUUAAUCUGGAAAAUACGAUGUUCCUUUUUAUAGGAAAACGCUUUCAGUUGUUUCUGUAUAGCAAAUUUUAUAUGUUUCCUUUCCUCAGGCUGGGCUGAUCAGUGAGUCUCUCUCAAGAGAGUUCUUAGAGCAAUAUACAACUAUUGUACUUCAGAAGAAUCUUGACACCCUUUAUGCAUGUGGAGGUAGAACUUUUUAUUGUUAUAUCGAUAUGUAAUUUUCAUCAUCUCGUUGGUUGACUAGGUCUUUUAUUUCUACAGAUACAUGAUUUAUGGUGUUGCAUUAGUUAAUUACUUCAGUUACUAUAAUUUCUUAGCAUAUAUUUCUAUACGGUAUUCACAAAUAGCAACUAAAGGAUACUUUCAGUCUUCAUUAUGACAUCUUUGAGAACUAUCAUUUUUCGCUUGAUCGCAGUAAAUGAAAAGGACACUCGCAUGACCUUGGUUGAAGCGAUCCCAAAAAUAUUGAACUGGAUCUCCAUGUUCAGAGAUUCGCAGGUAAAUGAAUAACAAUUUUGAUGACCUCUCUCCCAAUAUAAUGUCUUCGUGGGUAGGGAUGGGUCUGGAAAAUGUUGUAAUGUUUUAUACUCUUAGUGUGAGCUUGGCCUAGGUCAAAACCAUUAUGCCUGGGUGGCAGCUUUUGUAGCUUACUGACACAUGAAAAGAUUUGUAUAGUUUAGCAAUUUGUGGCUGAAUAGUGUUUUAUGCGAAGUCUAAUUAAUUAAAACUGAACAAUGUCACCAAUUCCAAUCUUGUCAUCAAUAAAAGACUGCCAUGCCAUUCACCCUGUCAUAUAAGCUGAAGCUCUGGAUCUUGGCUAUCUGCAUGCAUACUGCUUUUCUUGAAUUUCUUCAUUCAAUGGCCUGCACUUUGACAUAUUUGAGGUAUUUUAAUUUGUAGAUUCUUCCAUUUGUAUGCAAGUUGUCAUGUUCUAUUCAUGUCACUCUAUAUUUUUGAGCUAAAUUGUUUUAAAAUUAGUGUAGGGUUCCAGGAACCAAGCAGUUGACUUUGGACAUCAUGGUGGACUUCAGAACAUUAAAGUAUCUGAGGUGAGCAUCUCACUUGAUCUUCUUUCAGUAAAGUACGAAUUUGGUAAGAUUAUAUUACAAAGUAUCCAUCUCCAUUGUCGUCUGGAAGAUGUGAAGCUCUUACUAGAUGAUAUGCUUAACUUGGGUGAGCAAAAUAUUGAAUUUUCUGACGUGGAAAAUGCUAUAUGUGCUUGAAUUAUGUGAAGUUUGUUAUACUGAUAUAUCUAUAUCUACUUGAGAUUCAAUACUAAAAUUUCUCUGAUUGUCAUUCAAUUGCAUUCUUUCAAUGCUAAUUGUUCACAAAAAUUACAUGAUCUUCUUCUAUAUAUGAAAAAUUGGUUUUUUUUUUAAUGAGAUGUCCUCUUCAAAAACCUAGGUUGUUGACAUUGAGGAGAUGGCAUGGGCACCCAGAUAUGGUUUGAAAGGAAUGAUUGAUGCUUCCAUGCGGGUAAUUAUAGACAGCAAUGGACAUAUUGGGAAGAUUAUGCCUAUGGAGCUCAAAACUGGGAAAGGAACCAGUGGGCAGGCAAGCUUUUGUAUAGAUAGUUUCUGUAGAACAGUGCAGGGGCCUUGUGGUGGUAGGCCUAAUUUAUUCAUAAACAUGCUUGAUCCAAGUGUUGUGGCAAUGAUUUGUCUUCAUGCAGACAGCUAUGGAGCAUAACGCCCAAGUUAUGUUAUAUACUCUCCUAAUGUCCGAGAGGUCUGUUAAAGUCCAUGUACUUCUUGGAGUUCUACAUUUUAUCCAGUUAGAAUUAACUCAGGCUGUGUUUGUUUCCUUUAUAGAUUUGGAACUGGCAUGAGAAUGUAACUGUAAUCUAUAAAAAUUUCCAUAAAAUACAAUUUCAAUAGCAAGCCAAUUUGAUUUCUUUUAAGGGACCAAAAGCAGCCUCAAUAGUGCUCUUGUAGAUUUUGCAAACUUUCUUUUCAUUUUGUUGUUAUUGUUAAAAUAAUUGUGCCUUUUAUUGUUUCCCGUUCCAGGUACCAGAAAGAUAUCAAUCAAGGUCUACUGUAUUACCUGCAUAUAGAUCAGACACGGGUAAUUUUAAGCACAUGAAGAACAUCUUGCUUUGCUUUUCCUUCAUUGUGUGUUAAUUUGUGAUACAUUUAUCUCUAGGGAAUUUCUGUCCAAAGAUCUGAUUUGGUUGGACUAAUAAUACGCCGAAAUGACCUGGCACAUGAUCUACUAAAGGCAUUGACAACUCAAGAACUACCAGCAAUGCAACAGGUACAUGUACAUUUGAUUGUCCUUUUUGAUUCUAAGCCUUUUGUGCCUUUCAUUACAUGCUUUGACUAGUUUUUGACAUUUUUAUGUAGAGCAUAAACAUGUGCAGAGGUUGUCGCCACCUUGAUGUCUGUACCAUCUACCAUAAGGUAAAAAGUCAUAUCCCUGAAUUCCGGUUGGAUUCCUAGAUCACUCUCUGAAUAGAUGAUGCCAAUGCAAUCAAAAGAUGGAGAAGCUAGAUGAGAUGGUGCAAACGCUAACACAGUUUCACUUUCCCUAACCUCUUUCAAUGUCAACGGGAAACAGUUCAUCAGUGUUCAUAAUCUUUUCUUGGAAUUUGACCUGUUUUGUAGCAGUGUCUGUUUUGAGACUCAGCGUCCCCAAAAUGGAUCUAUUCAUUGAUGUUUUAAUACAUGGAGAAUAGUUAUUCUUUUUUUUUUUCAAAUGCAGCUAGUUCUGCUUUAGUAUUUUCUGCUACAAUCUUACAGUUUUGCUGCCACUGGGUUUACCCCACCUUUGUUAAUUUUUCAACUAUGUAAAAUUUUAAAAAUUUUUUUGUUUCCUUUCUGUCCUAAUUUCCAUAUAUAAUCAUCUUGCUCGUAAUAUUUUGUUCAAACAAUCUGAAAUCCAGUUUGUACUGGUAAAUUUCUCUUGCUGGGAUCUCAAUAAUACAUACUCAUAAUAAAUGGGUAUCAUCUUACGAGUAGAGUUAGGCUGAUGGUGUCUUGUUUAUCAAUGAUUGGUAAGCUAUACAUCAAGUUUGCCUUUUAAGCAUGAUGUACUAACUGAUCACUUACAGAUAUGUAUUCCAGAACUCUGAAUUGCUUACCUUUCUGUGCUGCAACUCUGCUACUUGAUGUUAUUCAUUACAAAUACCUUCUUGUGAAGUAACUUUGUAGCUUUCCCCAUUUCUGCAUGGUUGAUAACAGCUUAUUCGUUGUAAUCUUUUUCGCAUUUUCUAGGUUAAGGUCAAGUACAUAGAACAAUAUGAGGUGGUAAUUCAUCAAAACUGCGUGAUCAACGUGAGUUGAUCUAUUCUUAAAAGAUUGAGUUUAGCAUCAUAGAUGAGUUUUAUGUAUGUUUCCAUUUCUUAUGAGCAAUAACCAUGACAAAACUCAGAGGAUGAAAUAUAAUUUACUAAAGCUAUAAUGAAUAUAGGUUUAGCUACGGCAUUUUGCAUCCUGAAAUAAGGAGGGGAAAUUUCCUAGGCUCUUUUUCUUAAUACCAUCAAAUUAUGGGGAGUGUUCCAUGAGGAUGCUGUUUAUGGUAGGCGAUUCUGCCUUUGUUGCUGUGUUAUCUGUUGAAGAUGCCAUUAAUAUUUUAAGGAAUAAAAGCUGAUUCUUCAUUUUAAAACUACAUUCAUGUGAGGUAUCUUUCUGUAAAUAUGUGGAUAACUGCGAGUUCAAAUCACUAUUUAACAGUGUAGUUCUAAUUUUUCCAGCUUCCUUGGUUGUUACAAGUGGCAUCAUCUCCAUACAGGCAUUUAAGUUGUGCCUCCUCCAUCUUUGGUUAGAACUUUUCAUGCUUCUGACUUUGGUUUUGACUGUUGAAGGCAUAUGGAGGGACCACAGAGAGCAGUGGAUUGGGUGAUAUGUUUGAUUCACUUGUACAGCAUUUAACAACUAGAGAUUCCCUUUUUCUUCAGAAAUGGAAUCGAUUGAUUGACUUGGAGGCUAAAGAAUUGGAGGUAUUAUAUCUGAAAUGAUUCUUUGGCUUAAGAUUGUGGCAUUCUUUCUGUGAAUCUCACUGUCUGCUUGUUAUGUCUUUCUGCGUCAGGUUGGAAAGAAAGAAAUCUGGAUUUCACAUAUUUUGAAGAAUGAUCUCCUUUCUGGUCGCCUAUCUUCCCUUGUUCUUGAUACCUCCCUCAAAAUGCCUCAGAAAGGCUUUUCCAAAGGCAACCAAUUUGUUUAUCGAUUUGUGCAUCAACGUUUUCCAUUAGUUGGCACUGAACAGCAAAGCUCUCCUUCUGGAUUAAACAGCUUUGAUAGUACACUUAGGAGUGGGGAUUAUGUGGUAUCUACUUUGCAGUAAUAUUAUUAUUAUUAUUAUUUUUUUGCAUAUAUUUACUUCCAUGAACAUUAAUGUUAUGAGGCAGUCCUGCUAAGUAUGCAAAUGUUGCGACUUUCUUACUGUGUAGGUCCCUUUUUGUACUUUUAUUGAUCAUAUUUGUCGGUAGAAAAAGCAAUUAAGCAACAAGUCAACUCAUUCUAUUUCAGUUUAUACUUAGCUUUAAAUAUGCCUUAUCCAAUAGUAAUAGGUGUAACUCAAUAAUUAGACGGUCAAUAACAUAAAUUUAUUUGGUCUAGUUGGACCUUUUCUUGUCACUCUACCAGUGUGUGAAGUUUUGCAAAAACUUUUUCUGAAGUUGUGCUUUAUUUUUUUACUGAAUUUGAUCCUUUACAGUGAAAUAGAAGCAUUUUAGAAUUAAAAACGUUAUUUUUUUUAUGCUUUCCUUGCCUCUUUCAUUAUCUUUCUUUGACAAGUGUCCUUUUUCUUUCGGUGAAGAAGUUAACGACUUUCAAUGUCAACCAUCCUAGUUGGCGUCAUUUUUGCCCUUCACAGAUUUGCUUGCACUUUUAAUUUAAAAAGACAUGGUUAAUUUCAUUUAAUUAAGUAAGAUUUUCCUUGAACUGUGCAUAGAGUCCAUCUGUUAAUGCCUGCUUACUAAAUGCACAGCCCAAUAGUUUCUUGCAUAUGUUGCCACUAAAAGCACGUGCAUGUUGCUUCACAAUUAUCAGCUAGUUAUUUUAUACUGCCUUUUGUCUUCCAACUGGUAAUUCAACAACUUCAAAUGAGUUUACCUUCUACUUUUCAGAUACUGAGCACUGACCCUGGUCAUCUGCCAGUCACUAACGGUGUUGUAAUGGAUGUCGGUAGUUCUCAUGUUUCUGUAAGUACUUUAAUUCAGCUGUUACACGGAGUAUCAAUUAGAGACCAGCUUAUAUGACCAUAUCUUAAGUGGUUGAAUUAAGACCAAGAAUAGGUGUUAUUUACAUCUAAGACUAAGAGUAGGUUAUUGAUAUAUUGCUGUAUAGCAUAAUGACUUGAUCAUCCCCAAAGUAGCUGUUUGUAUAGAUCACAGUUUUCACUCAGGUGACUUGUGCAACCACAUAGAUAUCCAUGGUGCAGAAAAAAAAUGCAUCUCUCAGCAGCAACACUUAAAACAACCUUGAAACUACCAGUUGUCUUAAUGUUUAAAGUAGGUUUCAACAUAUUGUUUCACUAGGUAUCUUUCUCAAAGCGCUUGAGGCUUCCAGGAAGCAGUUCUUCAGUGGCAACAGAUCUUAGUCAGCAGGGCUGGCGAAUUGACAAAGAUGAAGCUAUGGCAUCAUUUGCAAUUAUGAGGUAGUAAAGUAAGCAACCUCUCAUUUCUUAUGGUUGUUGCUGGGUAAAAGUUUUAGUUGUUUUGGAAAUAACGAACUGUUACAUAUUGGCUGUAAAGGUUCAACCUAGUUCAACUGUUUUUGCCAAAUGAACAGAGUGAUAAACUGAGGAAGGUGAUUGUCAACCUAGAGGUAAAUGCUGUGUAAACACACUGUUAUCAUAUUUAUUGUUUCCUUAUCAUUUCCCCACUUGCUUAUAAGCAAUCAUAGGCUGCCAUCAUCUCUGGAUUUUUACUUGCUCAUUUGUUGCAGGCACCAGCUUUUGACAGUGGAUGUCUACUUAGUCAGGACCCUGCCAUCUCAUAUAUCUGGUCGGAGAAAAACUUAAAUGAUGAUCAACGCAGAGCCAUUCUCAAGGUAUGCAUCAGAAAUAUUACUGUGGCAUUUGAAUCAGUCUUUAGGUCUAGUAUAAUGAAAUUCAGCAUUUGCUUAGGUGCAUGCUGUGAAAGCAAGCAAGUUGCUGUGGGGUAGCAAAUUGGGAUAACAGUUUUGACACUGACAUUUUCUAACUUCAAUUUCAGAUACUUACAACAAAAGACUACGCACUAAUAUUAGGAAUGCCUGGGACUGGAAAAACAUCUACUAUGGUGCAUGCUGUAAAAGCUUUACUGUUGAGAGGCGCAUCCAUAUUGCUCACGUCCUACACAAAUUCGGCUGUUGAUAAUUUACUUAUCAAGUUGAAAGCUCAGGUCAUAACUGUGUCGAUACAUCUUCUAAAUUGAUUUAUUUUUUAUUGCUCACAAAAGGGGUCUGAAUCUUUAUCAGCUCUAGAAGUGCAGGAUAUGCCAUUAGAUUUUGUUGUUUUUAUUUUUAUUUAUUUUUUCUGGUGCAACAUCAAAAAGGAAUGCUAUGUUCCAGUUUUGUAAUUCAUCAGCAAGGGUGCGACCCAUUGGUAUUUCUUUAAAGAAGGAAAAUUGGUUUAGGGUAUUUUGGAGAAAAUUUGAAAUUAUGUUUUGAAGUUGUAUUUCAAAUAAUAGGAUUGACAACUUAUUGUAUUUGCUUCAUUAUCUCAUUCUCUUUAGGGCUUUUGUCUGUAACUGGUGUUUAAAUUACUGCAGGGUGUUGACUUUAUCCGAAUUGGAAGAUGUGAAGCUGUGCAUGAGGAGGUCCGAGGCAACUGCAUCUCUGGUAGAAUCUCCUCUGUUUGGAUCGGGCUUUAUUUUGUGAUAUGUCUUUGUUGUACUAAUUUGCUGUGGCAAUUUUAUCUUACAGCAAUGGACAUUAACAGCAUUGAACAGAUUAAGCUGAGACUAGAUCAGACCAGAGUAGUUGCUGUUACUUGUUUAGGGAUAGCUAGCCCUUUGCUUACCAAGAAGAGAUUUGACUUUUGUAUCAUGGAUGAAGCUGGCCAAACUACACUGCCGGUAUGUAGGUUGAUUUCCCUUUGUUCUUUCUCCACAAAAGCAGUCCAAGAAAUACUCAAUAUUUGUCUGCUCUUUGUUGAAAAAACAGCAACGAGAGACUCCUAGUUGUUAAAAUGAAACCUGGUUAUGAAAGUGCAAGUCAUUUCCAUAUGGGAAUGGUGCAGUGGCUGUUUUCUUUGAAUUUUCUUGAUAUGAGGCUGUUGAUGGUCAUUUGUUGCCUGGGAUGCCUUCAGUUCUUGCUGUUAGACUAAAAUUUUCAUAGUUGAAUGAUAAGUAUUUCACUUCACGGAAAGGGACCAAUAGAAGCAGUGUUUUGGUUUAAAGAGAAUCCAUAGGCAUUGUAUGCGAUCAGUAGCAACUUGUAGCAAUGAGUAGAAGUGCACGUAUAUGACAUCUGAGUUAGCAGUUAGCCAAAAGAAAAUCAAAGGGAGAAGGUGAUUAUACUUGAAUAAUCCGCAAGAAGUGAGCAUGAUCUUUUAUUCAUUACUGUCUUCUUAGUUCUUUAGCAUGCAUCUUUCCCUAGCUUGGUGCGCUCAUCUUCCUUCUGAUGGAAAUCUAACAUUUUCACCAAUUUUAAGGACACAGCUAUGGAAUCUUAAGUCAGAAUUCAGACUCAGUGGCUUCUGAAUUUGUAGAAGUAUAGGAAUGACUGUCAAUCUUCAUACCUUUUAAUUUUGGAUUUGUACAGAGGUAAAGGAGCGGACCUAAUAGAAAAGCAUAAAUUCUAGGAGCUGUGUUAAUUAGUUCCAACUGCCUCUGACUCAUAAUUUCUUUUAAUUUUUUACUUAUUAUAUUUUGUUGGUAAUAUAAAAUGUACCCAUGUGUGUGUGUGUGUAUUUAUGUACAAAUUAUGAAAUAAAAUACAGUCAGGUGUUUCUUUGUGUUUUCCUGGUUACAGUGUCUUCCAUUUCUUUGGAUUGUUAAGCACAAUGUUCUGCACAGUUCUCCAAGAUAAGCAUGAUAACACUUAAUUGCAUUGGCCGUACUCCAGUGACACAGAAACUAUAUUGUCAAUCAGGUGUCCUUGGGACCUUUGAUGUUUGCUUCGAAGUUUGUUCUUGUGGGGGAUCAUUAUCAAUUGCCACCACUCGUCCAGGUGUUUCUUUUUUCUGAAGUAAUCUUGACUCUUCUGGUGUACCCUAUGAUCUACUCGUUCCUUUACUUGUUUUUCUUAUGUUAGAGUGCAGAGGCUAGAGAGAAUGGAAUGGCCAUAAGCCUGUUCUGUAGGCUCUCAGAAGCACAUCCUCAGGCAAUUUCAGCUUUGCAGAGCCAGGUUAUCUCUAAAUUUGGGUUCUAAUUUUUCCUGCAUCGGCUCAUUAGCUAAAAACACUUGAUGCUUAUACAUUGCAAAUGCAGUACCGUAUGUGUGCUGCUAUCAUGGAACUAUCAAAUGCUUUGAUAUAUGGGAACAGAUUGCAGUGUGGUUCUGCCGAAAUUGCGAAUGCCCAACUCAUUUACCCAUGCCCAUCAUCUACCCCUGAAUGGCUGAAUGAGGUACAUACAAAUUUCUCUAUGUUAUGUUGUAUAUAGAUCUGUUGCUGACAUUUAGAUGGUUGAAAGUUGAAACUGGAUAAUUUUAUAGAUUUUUCUUGAAUGGCUGCUUGAAGUGUCAAGCUACUUGAAGUAAAUGCCUCUCGUUAACUUUCAAAUUACACUAUCUAUUUGUGCUUUCUGUUGGCAUGUUACUGUUCCCUAAAGACAAACUCUUGUGGCAUUUUAACAGAGUCAUGCGUCUUUUCAGUGCCUGCAAUUGCUGCUUCCUUGAUAGCAUUUAAUUUGAACAUAUUACUUUGCUAGCCUCUCACAUCCUGUCUUUUUCUGAGUAACCUACAAGAGUAUGAUUCUGCCUUGUAUAGGGUAUAAUGAAUCCUUUUUCCAUGAUAUAAAGCUUUGAACCAGAUCUGAGUAAAUGUUUUCUCUCUGGAGCCCUAAUUGGUCAUUUGGUGUCUCCCUUCAGAUACAAUCUGCAUGGAGUUUGUGGUCAUAUGUCAAGCUUUUCUCAUCUUUCUGUUUAUGGUCUAGGAUGCCUUAUGCACACUAAAAAUUUGGAUUUUGGUUAGGUACAGAAAUCAGAAUCUCUAAUACCUAUAAGCAGGUUCUGAGGAACCUUUGGAUAUUUGUAGACCAGGAAAAACACUGGGCAAAAAAAGAGUAACUUAUGCCUGCGAAAGAUACUGGCUGACAUGAUCUAAGAUCAUUUACUCAAGCAUCCAUGUGAAUCAUAUUCUGUACAUGACAGGUUAACCUAUGCUGCUCAAAAGUUUCUGGUCUUUUCAAUUCAUUUUGCUUGUUAUACUAACAUUUCUGACUUGGAUAUUCUUUCAAUUUUGCCAUAUCCAUGUAUAUGUUGAAAUGCAGAUGGUUAUUACUUUUUAUUAUUUUUAUUUUUGUUUUUUCAUUUUCAGUAGCGUUAACACUCAAACUUUUUCGUUAGGAACGUUAUGGUCCUCUUUUAUCCCUGUACACUCAAGCUUGUUCUUAUGAAAUUUUUUAUCAAGUUUAUGGACAGUUAUUAUUUGUUUCAAAUUUGUAGCUGUUGUGAUUGAUCACAGUUGGUCACUGUCUCGGUGUUUCUUCUUUUCUUUUUCAUUCACUUUUUUCUUUUCCCUCCUGCUGGAGGAUGGUUGGGGGGGGGGGGUGUGAUGGCUGUAAUGGGGGUACCAGCAUUUUCCUUUGAGACAAUAUUACUAUUAACCGUGACAAGAUUUCAUAGGUGAAUUGUCUUAUUUUCCUUAAUUCUUGUUGCAAAAGUAAUUAAAUUUUAUUGGUUGAUUAAAUUCCUUGAAUUUCACCAGGCGUUGAACCCAGAAAGACCAGUUAUUUUUAUUAACACAGGUUUGUUCAAGUGCUGUUUUCCUUUUACCUUUAUCCCAUGCUUUUCAUCAGAAGAACUUGUCUCCCAUACAACUUGAGUUGUUUACCGUCUUAACAACUCAGAUUUCUUAGAAGCACACGAGUCAAAUGACAGUAAAGCAGUGAACAAUCCAGUUGAAGCUUGUAUUGUAUCUGAGGUGCGAUAUUUGGACCUGAUUACUUAUUGCGUUCUGGGAUCAAGUUUUAUGGAGUUACUGUUCUCAUGGCCAUUUCUAUUUGUAGGUCACAAAUGGAUUGCUUGAAAGAGGCAUUGAAGGAGAAAGCAUUGGCGUUAUUACCCCCUACAACUCACAGGCAAAUCUUAUUCGCCAAGCUGUUUCCACAUCUGUGGAGAUACACACGAUCGACAAAUACCAGGUCCGACUUUUGCCAACGUCUAUACAAUGUUUUGGCUUUAAAAAUUAACUAUUGGCACACCUAUUAUCCUUCUGUGAUGCUCUGAUAAAAAUAACAACUCUUAAGAAGAGCUAGUCAACUAUUAAUCUGGGAGCUGUUGAUAGGCUUUUGGCCCUUCGGUGAUUUGAUUAUUUGUGUCACCUGUCUUGCAAUAGUGAUCACAACAAUCUCAAAUUGGUAGGGCUCUUUUCCAGUUAGUGGUGUUAUCCUUUCUACUGGUUCCGGAAUUUUAUAGUAGUAGAGUUUUUGUUGAAAGACACGUGUGGAAGCUUCAAUUGGUACAAAUAAACUGUUGUUUGUUUAGGAAGGAGUCUAAAGUUUCUUCUAGGUUAAGAAAAUCGAAUAGUAUAGUUUUUUUUUUUUUUUUUAAUUUUUAAAUUCUCAGAUAGAUCCUUGUGAAAUGUUGACCUAUCAUUGGUGGAAAUUUGAACUCUCGUGGCUAAAAUUUUUUUUUACUGUGAAAUUCUCUACUAACAUGGAAAAUUGUAUGGAAAUUUACAAUUUUGUCAGACUCGUGUUGUUGAAUUGUCGAAACCAAACGUUAUUUUGUUUUCCCAUCUUUUUGGCUUGCAGGGUAGGGAUAAAGAUUGCAUACUGGUUUCUUUUGUAAGAUCCAGUGAAAACCCAAGGACCUGUUGCUCUUCACUACUUGGAGACUGGCACCGGAUUAAUGUAGCCAUUACACGGGCCAAGGUUCUCAUCAUGUUGUUCUUAUUUAAUUAUUGUGUUUGUUUCAGCAAUAAAUUAUUUGUGGUUGUAGCUGGAAAAUGUUUGAUAUAUUUUACUACAUUUCUUACCAUCUGGACAUUGCGCUACAGACAUUCUUAUGUCUUUGAAGCUUUUUCGUUAUUUUUUUGACUGAUAAAGAUGCAUAACUACUCUUGAACAAACAUGUACACUGAUGUGGUGUUUUUCCCCUCCCUCUUGAACAGAAGAAGUUAAUCAUGGUGGGCUCCUGCAGAACUCUUUCGAGAGUACCACUGCUGAGGCUUCUCAUAGAGAAAGUAGAAGAACAAGGGGGAAUAAUGAGUAUAUCCAAGAGGGACAUUAAACUGAAACCAGAGUUGAAGAGAUGCUCCUCCCAAUUGAGGUAGGUAGGAGUGAUUUUGAUGUUGAUGUAAUUUAUCAUGUUGUAGAUUGAGUACUUUUUUGGAAAUUGUAAAUAAAAUAAAAGCCAUUAUUUUGAGUUUUUUUUUUACUAAUAAAAUGGUAACUGGGGUGAGUCCAAAAAAAAAAAGAAAACUUUCUGGAAAAAACUUUUACCAAAAUGGCAUGAACCACAGUGCUUGUACAAAAGGAGCGAAGUGCGGUAAACCCUUAAAUGCAUAAACGAAGGUUGCCAAAUGUCGAAUGCUGCUUACGCUUAUGAGAUACUUCUUGGUCCUAAAUGUCAAAAUAUGCCCUCUUGAAAAGGUAGCGUUAAACAAGAAGAUAUUCGACAAGUAGCCUUCAAUAUCUCUUCCGGAUUAAACAAUUUCCCAUGCCAGUUAAACGAUUCCUUGGCAACCAAAUCUGUCAAAUAAAUAAGAUAAGAUGGGGUAUCACGACACCCUCCUGUGGAGUCGUAGAAAACCAUUGCCGCAACCAACAUGACUGACAUUCAACUGGCAUACCGACAUCAAAAUUAAAGCCCCAGUGGAUAUGCUCUCCACGCCCACUCCAAAAAUUAGAGAGUUGCAGCCUCUUCCUUCAUGCGGCACCAUAGGCAGAGGGAAGAUGGGCAACAAGUACAGGCCACAGCAACAAUUGUAUUUUUGCUGCUAUAAGUAAAGACCAUAGUUUCUUCCAAGUGGCUAUAUGAAUAACAUACAUAGACUUCCUAAUUUUCUAUCAAUCCGGGCUAUAUGGUAUCCUGUACUGGAAAUUUUUUAUACACUAUCAAUGUACAAUUUUUUUUCUUUUUACACUAUAAUAGGUUUAUAUUAAUGCAACAUUAUAUGAAUUCAAAUAUGAAAUUCAAAUCAUGAACAUGCGGUAUACAUUCAUAGCUGCAAGUAAAAAGAAAUCGCUAGACUACCGGUGUAUAAAAAGUUAAUCCAUGUAUAUUUUUGCUAGUACUUCACUAAACUCUUUUCUAGCAAAUCUUUACUGAUAGUGUAGCCUACACACAUCGGAUCGUAGGUAGGCUUUCCCUCGUACUUAUAACCAAACACCCUGCCCCUUUCACAAUUAAUGUGGGAUAAACUCAACAAUCUCCCCCUCAUAUAUCGGAUCUUAGGUUGAACCAUCAUCAAUCUCCCCCUCGCGCAUUGGCCUGUAGGUGGGAUCGGUAUCAACACAUUGGCCCCUAGGUUGGAUUAGCAUCAACAUAACCGAUGAGAGAUAAAUUCAAUGAUCUCCUCCUCGUACAUCAGCCCCUAGGUUGGAUCCCCUCACACUUAUAAUAACCAAGUACCGUGCCGCAAUCGCUAUGGAUAAACUAAAAAAUCUCACCCUCACAUAAUCGAUGUGAUAAACUCAAUAAUCUCCCUUUCAUACAUUAGGCCUAGGUUGGAUCAUGGAUAAAUUCAAUAAAUUCAAUAAUCUCCCCUUCAUACAUCAUGUCCUAGGUCGGAUCAGGAUAAAAUCAGUAAUUUCCCUCUCACACAUCGGCCUCUAGGUUGGAUCGUCUCACACUUAUAACCAAACACUCUGCCACAACUGAUGUGGAUAAAUUCAACAAUCUUCCCUUCACUUAUCAGGCCCUAGAUUGGUUUAGUAUCACCUUGCCCCAUCCACAUCCCUCUCACACAUCGGCCGCUAGGUUGAAUCAGCAUCAACCUCUCAACAAUCUCCCUCUCACACAUUGGGCCCUUGGUUGGAUCAACAUCAACCUCUCAUCCGACAGGCCUAUCACACAUCGGCUCUGAGUUGAAUCAGCAUUAAUCUUUUAUCCGACGAGCAACAAUCGAUCCAAAUGUCUACUGGGAGGAGUUGUCAUAAUUGGGUUCUGAUACUAGUGCUGGGUACUCUCGGGCCUUCUCACUCCGAAAGUUAUAUAACUAAGUACCCUACCCCUUUCACAACCAUAACGGAUGUAUGAUAAAUUCAACAAUAACUCUCAUAGUCUGUGGAACCAGGAGCUUGUCAUAUGAUUUCCUUUCAGGGGAGUCAGAAGACUCGUAACAGAACUUUCAACCCCUUUUGGUGCUUAUUUUUUCUGUUUAUGAUAUGUAGAUGUCUACGGAUUCAAGCACCAGUAGUCAUGUUUCUGCUUUGUUUUGAUGCUAUUAUUGACCAGUCAAAAGAAUUACUGUGACCUACCAUGUGAUUCAGAUUUGAUAGUGUACAUUUUACAUGGAUAUGCAACUAUUACUUUUUAGCGUUUCUCUCUUCUGAAUUGGCUUAAUUCAUAAAUUUGUGCUCUUCUGAUGAAGGCUUUUCCAUGCUUCUAAUUCUGUAAUCUUAUUCCUGCUUGUAUCACAAUGACUUUAGCAUUAUAUGCUUUUCUGCACUAAGAAUCUCUUCACUUUACAGUAAAGCUACUGGAAAUGAACAAUAAAUUUGCUUUCUUUCUGUAAUAAUCUAUUAUAGGAAUUGCAGGCUUGGUGCUUCAGUGGAAUGAACAUUGUUCUUGUUUGAUGUUAGGCUUAGAGAGUAUGACUGAGAUGAUAUGUGUUCUUAUCUCAAACUUUCUAGGAAUCUUAGGAGCUGCAACUUGAGUGGCAAGGUUCUUGAUCUAACUAGGAUUCACAACCUUCUUUUCCUGUAACUCUCACAUGAUGAUUCUUCAUCAAUAUUUGAAGUCGGAAUUAAGAUACUUGCAGAAUAUUUAGCAGGUUUUUCUCUUCAAAGAAUGCGAUCAUCUCAUCAGAAAAUUCGAUUUUUUUGAAUUAAUCCGCUGGGCAAGUUUUUCUUUUGAAAGAAUGUGAGCAUCUGUAAAGUUAAUUGUUUCUUGUGGUUAUAGGACGGAGCUGCAUGUGUAGUUGUUACCAACAUUAUGGGCAAUGGGUUCAGAAAUUGAAGUACUUGAGUAGAGAUUGAGUUUGUUUUUGGGUGAGCUGCAGAAAGAAUUUGAAAUUUUUGAUAGAAUUGUCUACAAAAAUAAGAAUCAGCAUCAAAGGUGCUCUUAUUGUCAGUGUCUGCUCAAGGUAGGUAGUUCUUCUGCUGAAGUUUCAAUUUUACUUACCUAUUAUAUAGCACUAACCUGUACGUUUCUAGGCUUAGAUUUCUGUUUACCCAAAAUUAACUGUGAUUCUGCUGACAGGUGAGAAGGGAUUUGAGGCUUCUGCAAUCAGCAAAUUUGGGGGAAAUCUUGAACUCCUGCUUUGUCGCAAUCCAUAGAAAAAGACCUAAACAAAAAGUGCAGCUUUGGGAAAGGUAUAAACAAAAAGGAGGAUCCUUAUCCUAAUUUCUUGUUAACCUUAUGCAUUGAUGACUGUGCUUAUUGAUGCUUGUAUCUUGUUAUGGAGCAAUUAGCAAGACUCUGAAGAGGGUUCAUUGCAAAGUUAUAAAUCUUCAAAAUUUUCUGAGUCAUUUCAUGAGGCUUCAAAAAUGUAAAAUUGGAAUUUGAAAAUUAUUUGCCAGGGAAAUUGAUUUAGAAAUUACUCUAUCUAAUGUACAAGUAAUAGCAAUUGAACUGUUAUGUUCUAUAGUAUUUCAUAUACAUAAAUUUUUGGAUAUUUAUAUGCAUGUCUGUUUUACACUGCAUUUUCAGUUUGAAGAGGAGAAGGUCUGAUGUUGGUAAAUAUAGCUUUUUGGAACGGCUUCUUGGAGUUGCACGUCUACUAUCGCUGGUAGUAAUUUGUUCAUGAUUGCUGUCAUAACUGUGUUUCUCUAACUUGUUAUUGUACCUUCAGUCCUCAACGAACCUGAAGUCUCAAUGGGAGGCAUGCCAUUAAGCUACAAUAUUAUAUAUGUUCUUGUCAAACAUUUCCAUUGUUAAUUUGUUAUGAUGUCCAAUUAGUCAUUGUAUAUCAAGAUCUUUAGGUCUUAGAGGAGUCAGACUCUUGGUUAGUUUCAGUCUCUUCCAUUUUUCUCAGCAAGUCUUUUCUUUUUUAACUGUAACAGCAAGUCAUAUGUUGUCUUAUUCCUUUCCUUCCCUCUUCAUCUACUUCUCUGGUACCGUUGUAAGCUAUUCCCUCUAAUCAUGUUGCUGAAGGUAAUCGUCUAAAGAACUUAUGCUAUGCUUUUGAUUCUCCUCUUCCCCUAGAUAAUGACACUGACGCUGCAAAUCCUGAAUCUGCUCCAGAAGGUCCUGAUGGCAAGGUCAAGACAUUGGUUCUUUGGCUGAUCCUGUUUCACAAGGUAAGUAUAUAAGAGACGGUUCUUCCAUUGCAGGACCUGCUGCAAAGAGUAGCAUGACUCUGGAAGAUGGCCUACUUACAACUUCAAAGCUUAUCUCCGCAUUUGAGUCCCUUUAACACACAAGGCCGGGAAGAAAAAGGUUGCCUUCUUAGCGGUGAGAGCUCCUUCACCAUCAACCGCACACAUAAACUUGAUUCUGGUGUCAAACUAACAGACAAAAGUUGAUUAACAGAAAUGGGAUGCAUUUUUCAGUCUGCUUAUUGGUGACAAUAAGAAGAGCAGUAGUAUCUCUUACGAGUAUAUUCAGACCAAAAAGCCAGUCAUAUUGUGCUUUUUCCCCCUCUCUAUGGCUGUUUUUUUUUUUCUUUCUUUUCAUUUUUUCCCAAUUACGCUUAACGUGGUUUAAACCUUUGGAGCAACUCCAAUGGCGUGUCAUGGGAGGUACUCAUUACACGUAUCAUCAGAAUGAUGCGUGUAAAUGUUGCUAAAAAAAAAGAGGAUAUAGCGAGCCCUUUUUUGCAACAGAUAAAUUUGGUAUCACUGUCACAUAUGAUAUUUUCACAUUUGAGGUAUCACAUAUAUUUGAUUAAUAAUUACAUAAUUAUUUUUUAGAAAAUAACAAUAUAUUAUUUUUGAGAGAUAGAAAAAGAUAUAUUGUCCAAACUUAGAAAUUAAUAAUAUUAUUUUUUUAGAAAAUAAAAAAAUCCAAAAGGUAAAAAAUUUAAUGAAAAUUAAUAAUUCAUUUUUGAAAAAUAACAGAAUUAUUUUUUUUAAAAAAAUUACAUUAUUUAUUUACGGAAUAUGUAUUGUGCAUUAUUAAAAUAAAUGUUUGAUUUAACUGUAGACCCAUACUAUUAUCCCGUGUUUCCUUAGUAAUAUAAAGCUAAUAGUCAUAUCAUACAACGUCCACCUUGCAAAAGAAUUUCUAGGCUGAUUUUUGUCAUAUUUUGAAUGCCAACAACUAUCCAGAAGCAGGUAAGUUGAACAGUACGCUAAGAGCUUGCCACUCUUCAAUUGCUUCUUCAAUGAAGAAUUGAUUGCUUAAGUUUUACAUUAUAUGAUAGACGGCAUUUGGACUGCAUUUUAUAGCUGUUGUGUUGAUGUAAAUUUUAUUGAAAGGAAAUCCAAAAGAAGUUUCGAAUGGUGAGGGUCGAUUAUUUCGCAAAAGUGGUCUCGAAAGAAUCAAAUGAUUCAAAAUGUUGAAGUGAUUUUUAGAAUUAGUUUUAAUGAUAAUUAAUUUUUUUUAAAGUUAUGAUGUUUGACAAAUAAUUACUGGAGAAACCCGAAAAAGAAAAACAAUUAAAAUAGUGAAUUAAUAGUGAAUCAAAUGGUUCAUGAAACCAGUCAUUUGCUUGGGGAAAACUGAUUCCACGAUUACUAAGAGCAGCAAAACUGAACCAACCAAAGAUCAAAUAACAUCCACAUCUAUAAACAUAACAAUGACCGACGUAAAACGGAGAAGGGAUCCAGAUAAAAUAUGGAGUAAACCAUAUUCAUGCAUCAACAGAACAACGUUCUUUUCCCAGUAAAGCCUAAAAGAUAAGUUGGAAGAAUAAUACAAAAUUUAGUUUAAUACAACAAAAUAAUUAAUAACUGCCGCAAAACUGACUCAAUAUCCUGACUAUUCCUGUCUGUCUUUGGGUUUCAAGGGAGAUCUUAUGGCCACAAUUCUGGGAAUGAAUUAACUCCAGUUGCCUUCUCUCACAGUUCUGGGAGGACCUCUGCAAGUAACUCUGAAAUCUUCUAGUUCUGGGACCAAAUUACGAUAAAUAUUGUACCAGCUGCUAGUCAAAAGAAAUAACCUCCUCUUGAACAUCUAGUAAUUCCUCCACUUCUACGUCUUUGGCCUCGUAUUCCUCCUCUUCAUCACUGGCUUCCCCAUCACGAAGCUUCUGUCUUUCUAAUUUUUCCUCUUCUUGCAGCUGUUUCCACUCGCUGAUCCACCUCUCCCACUCUUCCUUCACAAUCUUUCGCUUCUCGCGUUCCUGCUCACUCAACUGGAGGGAGACAUCCUGAUCCUCUGCUUCAUACUUCUUGCUGUACUUCUUCAGGUUCUUGGAUAUCUCUUCUUCCUUCUCAGGGCUCAAAAGGGAUGGAGGCCUUGGACGCCAAGAAAACUACGAUAUAACCAAUGUAAGUUUCAAGUUUUCAAACACAAAAAAAGAAAAAAAAAUACUAAAUGUGAAAUUGUGUAGUUUUACCUGGAAAAAGUGAUCCUUGAGAAUACGAUAUAACAGUUUGCCAUUGAAGGACCAUAUGUUGAAACCAUUUUCCAUCUCAUGAACUGAAGUUACUGACGUAGCAACAUACCUGCAUAUGCAAAUUUGAUGCAAUCAAAAAGAAUUAAAACAAAACAAAAUGUCAAGACUAAGCAACUAUCAGUCUUUUAGACUCCCAAGUACUACACAGAUUCUACAAUUAAACUUGAGAAAAAACAUUCAAGUUUUAGAACCAGGAAAGAGACUUCAGACACAUUACAACAAGAUGGAAGCUUUAUUCUCCUAAUCAACUCAACGAAAAUGGAUCGGUUAUUACCUUCCCGUGGGAUCCCAUUCAAUAUCUGUUGCCAUGAAGUGCUCAGCUGUUGCCAUGGUUUCAAGCUCAUCAACAUUGUAGAACUCCAAUUGCCCAUUGAAAUUUUUCAACCCAGCCAGCACAAUGAACCGACCAGCUGGUGACCAGUAAAGUGCAUUUGCCUGCUUGCCCUUGAUAGUUGUGAGUUUUGAAACCCGACCAGUAUUAUGAGCAGUCCGCAUUGAGUAGAAACUUAUGUCAGGCCUAGGGUUAUCACCAUGAAUAACUGCAAAUCUAUGGCCCUUUGGCUCCCAAGCAAAUGCAAUAAUCUUAUCAUUCUUAUUCUCAAGUUCCAAUACUUCAAUGGGAAUAUCUCUCUCUUUAAUUCUGAAAAGCUCAAACCCAGUAUAUGUACUCUUCUUAGUUUUUGUGUACCGAUCAACUUUCACAGCCAGGUAGUCACCAUUGCUUUGCCAAUACAUUUUGCAGUCACUAACACUAAAAAGAUUCUUCUGCCUCAAUUCCUCCUUGCUUGGGAUUUGCACAAGACUUACCUAUUAUUAGAUUGUAAACUAUUAGCCUUUAGAUUAGAGGAAACAAAAAAAGUCAGGUGUGUACCACAUGGAGCUUCUGUACUCACCCUUGCAGGCUGAUUCCCUCCACCAAGUUCUGGAACAAAUAGUGCAAGGAUAGGAUCGGUCGGUGACCAACUAAAGUCCAUGACAUUUUCAACCUUUAUGGAUUUCUUGUCAAUAAGAGUAAAUGUCUCAGUUUCAUAAACAGAGAUGACGUUCUUCCCUAUUCGGGCAAAGUAUUUGUCAUCCUUCCCACCACCCCACCUGAAAAAAGAUCAAUCAACUUUUCCAAGUCAAAAAUUUUCACAAUUAGAUCCAAUCAUAGAAAAAGUGAAACAUGUCUCCAUGCACCAGGUCAACAAGGGCAAUCAGUAUACAUAAGCAAAAGGUCACCUGAAAACAGGCCAAGAAACACCAGUAACGCCCCCAGUUCCUCCAAUAGCAAAUUCAUCUACACUUCCCUUGAAAUCUCGCAUUACUUUUCCAGAUUUCACAUCAAAAAUGUUGAGAACUACCCUCUGCAAAAUGAGUCUAUAUCAGGAAAAGUCCUACAGGGAUCUGAAAACGUGUUGCUACACCAGAACACACAUUUCUGUUGGUGUAAUGCUUCUACUGUCACUCUUGUUAUUGCAAUGCAUCGCAUAAUAAGGCGAAUUUGUAGAUUAACCUUGAUUUUUAAAAUUUACAGAGGAAUUAGUCAACGAAUAUGUUUCAUGACUUCUAUUAAGGGAGUGCAACAAUUAAUAUCAAAUAGCAAAAAGAUAAUCAGUAAGGAAGAAGAUAUAAUAAAAGAUCAUAAGGGAAGUAUGUAAUGGGUUAAAUAACAAAUGAACUAGAUAAAACACAUUACAUGAGUAUCACGAGGAUUGCUAGGUUCAUGGCUGCUGUAAGUCACCAAAAACCUCUCACCAGGAGAAAAAUCGAUCAGUCUAACCUGCAAUUGAGACAUUAAAGUCAAAUGCUUGAAAGAUUAGUACUCUAGCUUGCUAACAUCAUAGUUAUUAAAAUAUGACCUGAGGGUGAGCAUAGCGCGUUAAGCGAUUGAAAGCGGAGGCACCACCCCAAACUACAGCACCUUGCCUGUGCAGUGUGGCUAAAUAGGUACCCAGCGGGGACCACUGAACGAAACUCUCGGUCCAGAACUGAGUGAAAAAAUAAUGGGGAAAAAAAGGCAUCAGAGAAACGUAAAACAUGGAAGUUCUAAAAAGGAAUGAGAAAAAUGUAUUCAGAAGAGUACAAGGACAAUUCAUCCAAGUAAAAUCCAGUAUAAGAUGCAUUAAACAACAUAAAUUUACGAGCAAUGAACCAGAUGAAACAGAAAGAACUACAAAUUUCAAGUCACUCACAGGACGUUUGUAAACAGGAUCAGGCUUCAACUGUCUAGCAUCAUUCCACAGCACCUCGGUGUCACUGCCAGCACGAAUUACAAAUUGAUCUCUAGCUUUCUCAUCAGUAAGCCAGUGUUGCAGAUUUUCCUGAAACCAGUACACAACCCACUCAGAUAAAAACUUACUGAACAGAACAAUUCAGGCAGAAGAGAGAAUCCUAAGAUUAGCAGCACUUGAAAAGAAAGAAGCCAACCCCUGGUGUGUAAGGUAUAGUUUCUGGAGGAGCCCACUCAUCUGGAACUUUCAUAAACUUUUCAAUGUCAUCAAACAUGUUCACAGCAAAUAUAUGAGAUCUAUCCAACUUGUAUCCAUUAGUCUUCUCUUUUGCAAGUUCAGCUUCCUUCAAUGCCAUCAAACAAGAUCAGUUAGCCAGAUGAAACUAAUUAUCAAUUGCAACGAGACAUUAUGGCAACCUGUUUGUUUGUUUGCAUAUAGACACAACUCUUCCCCGCCCCAAUGCCCCCCUCCCCCGGCCCAAAAAAAAAACACCUCCACCCCAAAAUAAAAGGAAAAACGGAAACAAUAGGUCGUUGUUUCUUUAGACUGCAUAAUGCCAUAACCCUCGCCUACGCACCAACCAUUGCUGUGUUUCUAAAAAAGCAAUCACCGCAUAUUAAUAACAUCUAAAACAAAUACACAUUUGUCUGAUCUUCAGCUAAUACACAGCUUUUGUAUUUCAAGAAGCUACCAGAUACUACUUAUUGAAUCAUCAAGAUAAGCCAUCAUUCCAAACGUUAAAGCAAUUUCAUACAAUUUCCCUCUCCAGGCUAAUAUCAUAUGCCUCUGGCCCGUUUUAAUAAAGCUCAUUUACAUAUUUUCUCCAAUUAUAAGCAAAUUUUCUACACCCCAUACGAUAGCAAAGUCCACAAAUUAAUAUCCAAAAAGAUUUUUCUUUUUAACUCUACCUGAGGUGUAUUAUACUCUAUAAAACAGUAUCCCAGAGUUUUGCCAGUAUGGUCAACUGGCAUCCAUAAACCGUCAUCCUUAAUCACCCCAAUCUGGCUAUAAAUUUUGCGAAUAACCCCUUCCAAUUUUUCAAAUUUCUCUUUAGGAACCACGGGCAAAUUGUCCACCACAAUUAUGUUGCCAAACCCGGCCUCGAAUUCCAACUCCUCUUCCUCCUUCAAAUCCUCGUCAUCACUGCAAAACAACAACCAAUUCAUUACCCAAAACCUCAAAUUCCAGCGCAAAAAAGCCAUUGCCGGAAUUAAUUUGACCUAAGCAGAAGGCGUAUUUUUGCUCAAAUAUAAGCUUUUUUUCUUCUUUUCCUAAACCAACACAAUAAAGUUGUAACAUUUAUACGAACCUGAUGAUGCCGAAGUCUUCGCCAGGAGGGAGGCGAAUGGAAUCCAAAUCCACUUCAGAGAAGUCGAUGCCGAGACGUGACGCGGAGGCUCUUAUGUCCUCCAUGGACAUCACCUCAGUCGCCAUGAUUAUACCGCUUUAGAAUUUGGAGCUUGUCUGAGUGUAGUCAGACAAGCUGUGAGAAUGCGCCACCGCCGAAGAAGGAGGAAAAGAAGAAUGAGUGCUCCGGCCGCCGAGAAGUUUCGGUAAUGGAGAUUGUUCGUGUUUUUAGGGUUUUUGAUCUUCUGGAGAGUGAAAUAAUGAGAAAGGCGGUUCGAGUCGUUAUUUCCAGGGUCUUGAGCCUUUUUUCCUUUUCAAUAGCAACUUAUUAUGUUACGUGUUGAAAUAAAACUCGCUAUUGGGCCGAUGGCCCAUAUAACUGAGGGCCAAUAGGCUUACCAACCCAAUCCUACUUUUAACGCUGAUCGUAUGCUAUGGCCUUCGUCAACAAUUUUGCAGACUGAACCAUUCCAGUAUUGUGAAGCCUGUUUAGACCACCAAUUUAUGUAGACCCAAUAAAAUGCCUUGCAGUUGAACCGAGGCAAGUAUGUUAAAUUCCGUUUACACCCCCAUCAAUUUCUUCUAUGAUUUGUUUGUUGGUCUCGUUUGAAUUGCAAUUUUUUAGAGUUUCUAUAAAAAAAAUAUACUGUAGUUUACAAUUUUUUGGAGCUUUUAUUAAAAAGCAUAUCGUAACGAUUUGAUAUAUAUGCGAUAAAAAGAUGAUUGAAAAAUAUAUUCACUGAAAACGUAAAAAUUUUUUGAUAGAAAAUUUCGAUCCAAAAAACACCAGUCGAGGAGUCCUAAAUGUUUCAGAAAUAUGAUAAAUUGCCUAAAACAGAUUCUGAGAAUGCAAUUUUUUACUGAAAACUUAAAAAGUGUUUUCAUAAUUGCAAUGCCAACGAUAUAAGAAUUCUACAAGUCCUUCAUUCUAUCAUGUUAUGAUUUUAGUCCUACAGGCGAGUCCAAGUAUAAGCCACAUGCAUCAAAAGAUAAAUUUUUUUACCCUAUUAUCAAAAUCCUGCUAAACCUUUUCUGUGUAACCUUCUUGGAUACUCCUUAGAUUAAUCCCAUAUGGUUUGACUAGACAUAAACUCCAAUGAAACUAAAGGAGAAAGUGAAAUUUAUCAUUUGCAGAAGAAAAACGUCUCUUUUAUUUUCUUAUUUUUGUUUGUCUCCCAAGGGGAGUGCACAUGUCCAUAGAAAACUAGCCCAUGAACUAAUGAAUUGUCGUCAAAUAGAAUACUGCACCAUGCCAUCGAUUAAAAAGGGCCAAAUUUAGAGCAAAAGGUUUAAAAGACAUCACUUUCCUGGUUUGUAGAUACUGCAAGGAAGUAUAAUGAAUUAUUGAGAUGAGACCCCAAUAGAAGAAAAACCCAAAAGAGCUCAAAGAAAAAAGGAAGAAGAAUUAUUGGUAUAUCAUCUUUUACCUUGAAAAGAUGUUGCAAACAGGAACCGUACAGGACGAUUUAUCUAUGUUACUGCAACAUACGAUGAACCUAUGAAUCAGCCACCAUGGCAUCAAAAACUACAGCAGAAAACAGCAACUACCAGAUGCUUGAUAAUCCAGUCUAUUUUCAUCAACCAACCUUACAGAGUAUGUAAAGAAGACUUAGAUUUGAUCAUCAAAAUAGUACUAUGAUGCCAUGACAUUAUAUAUCCGACCUCCAAGCAUACACAUUAAAUUCUUCAGAGACCAUCUGCUUCAGCAGGUUUUGCCAAAAAAUCAUCACCCUGCUUCGCCUUCUCAGAUCGACUAAAUUUCCUAGUCACCAUGCAUUCAUAUUUCAGUUAAAGAACUCAUUUCGCCAUUUGGGUUUUGAAGUACCUUCAUCUUGCCCAGAUCUCGACAAGGCAUUGAACUCUUUCAACAUUUGCAGUUACAUCUCUAACUUGAUGACCAGAUUCCCUUGCUAUCUGCACAAAAUCAUUUGUUAGUCUCAUUGAACACAUCCAGCUCUGCCUCACAGGAUUAGAAUGAACAUGGACUAAUAAAUCUCCAUAUGGUUCAACAAAUAAGUUAAAACAGUGAAGAUCAGACUAAUUCCAAGAGCAAAAUAACAACUUGCCUGUAGCAGUCAUUCAAAUGCAUGCAUGAUUUGUCACAUAAUGUAUAAUCUUUGCCAGGAUUUACUUUUCAUGGACUUUUCAUCAGAACUCUGAACUACAUCCCAGAAGCAUUGAGCAAAACCUACAAAAAAUCAAGCCAGUGAAGACAGCUACUGAGAAUAGAGAAAAUGUCAAUUUUGAUAUUCGUGUUACAUUUGCAUAAUGUGCCUUUUCUCCAUUUUGCUUGGAUCUGGUUUUAGGGCCAGUAGAAUGAGAAUCCCAUUGCAACAUGUAUAUCAGUGCAAAUAAUUUAGCAACGAUACAAAAGAUUACCUAGUAAAUUUCUCUGCCUUUGAUUAUAAACAGGCAAACACACAGGUCAUCAAUAUUAUGCAAUUUUUUAUCAAAAACCAAUAAGACACGUCUCAAAAGUAACAAAAAUUUAGAAAAGGAUGCGUCUCCUGAAGUUUGUGCAAUUUAAUUACCUAUCCAUGUUAGCAGUCCUAGACAGCAUCUCUAAAAUAAACGCUAAACUACCAAAUGAUUAUUAGAGAUUUGAUUCUCAAGGUAAUGUUACUAUUUCUUGCAGAAUGAAAUUCUCACUGCUUCAAUGGAGCUUACAAAAAUAAAAUGGUGUAAUUACAGAUCUAUGAGCUAAAAAAAUAGUAACAAAUAUAUGCAGUAGCCCAAGUUCAAGUAUGCUUUAGGUUUGCACAAUGCUAAAGACAAGUGAAAAACCAAAUACAAAAAUUGCACGUGGCCGUGCACAUAAACAAAUAUAUACACAAGACAUAUCAUUGUGUAUCAUCAUAUGUAUUAAUAACAGAAAGAGAGAGAAAAGAGAUUUGUAGGUACCAGUUGCUAUCUGAAAGAUUCAGUAAUAGCCUGCCAAUCAUCAAUUUCUUCUUCAACAAAUUCAACAGUUCAGCAAGCAAAACAUGAGAGCUGUAUAUUGACCUUGAGAGAUGACGUACAGUUGCGAGUGAGACUUGGAGUAUCUUUGAGUCCACUUCUCAAGCCCCAGAACAACCCUUAAGAAGAAUCAAUGAAAAACUGUUAUCGAUCUUUCCACUGAAAAGUGUCUCAUUCUUAUCCUUCACAGUAUGAUAUCUGAAGAAGAAUUCCCAGCAACUGCAAUUACAAGCUAAUGGACAGGAACAUCUAGAAAUGCCAUCCUUUAGCACGCCAACAUAUCCGUGCUUUCUCAUUUCCACGAGCUACUUUUAUCUUCAAAAACAGCUUGUAGGCCACCUCUGUUUUAUUUAAACCUAAGAGUUUGUUGUUCAAUUUACUGCAAAUAAGUCUGCUGGGGCAAAAUCCUCUAUGCAAAGACUCCUCAAUGACUGCAACAGCAUUUUCAAGCUGCCCUAUGUUGCAAAAUGCAUUAAUGAUACACUCGUAAGCUUGCAUAUCAGAAGAAUAACCACUUUCUUGCAUAUCAUUCCAAAUACUCAUCAGGGUAUUACACUUGCCAAAUUUAGAAAGUCGCAUAAGCAAAAGCUUAUAGCAACUUAAUGAUAUUCUACAUCCGACUUUCCUUGCCUUUUUAUAAAUCAUAAGAGCAGCAUGAGGAGGGCCAUAGCCACACAAGGGCUCAAUAAAAGAAGUAACAGUACCCAUUGAAGGAAUGAUCCCACGGCCCAACAUUUCAUCAAACAAUUCAAUUGCAUCUGCUACUCUCCGAGCUUUUAAACAAGCAGAUAUUAAUCUGACAUAAGUAUCCAAGUUAGGCUCAUAAUCACCUCUCAACAUCAUCUCAUAAUAUUUAAAUCCCUCAUCCAAAUUAUCAGUAACUACAAAGUUAGAUAUCAUUGCAUUAUAAACCUCAGCAUUAAGAACGCAACCCCCCUCCUCCAACUCCCUAAAAAUCUUUACAGCACCAUCAAUUUGACCAGCUCUCCCUAAGCCUUCAAGAAUAUAACUGUAAGUCAAGCUAUCCGGAUUCAAUCCAUCUUCCACCAUUGCCUCCAAGGUCCUCUCAACUUCACUAACUAUACCAAAUCUCGACCACCCACUGAUCACCGAAUUAUAGGUCACACUAUUAAAGCGAAUCUUCCCUCUCAUCUUAUUGACUAAUGAACUUGCAGUUCCUACAUGUGAUCGUCGAAUUAAACAUUUCAGAAGAACGUUAAACGUCUCAGUAUCGCAUUUUAAUCCAAAAUCUUCUAAAUCAUCAAGCAUUUUGACGGCUUUAGAAACCCGCCGAGCCCGUAUAAAACUAUCCAUAACUAUAAAAAGGGUAUCGCAGUUGGGAUUUGUUCCUCUUUUUCUCAUAUCAAACAACAUAUCCACCAUAAAUUCAAAACAUUUUCUCCUACCUAAUGCUUUAAUAAGCACAUGAAAACUAUCCACAUCUCUAGUCAUUCUUGGUUGUUCCACUGCCCAAUUGAAAAACAUAACCAUGGCUUCGCCCCCUAAAUUGCCUCUAUUCACUACUUUAUCAAGUAUAUCAGGGGUAAUUUCAAUCCCAACAUUAGUUAAUGCCGUUUCAAUUGCAUUUUUACCGAGAAUUUUCUGGAGAAAAAUCCCACGAAAUUUAUCUUCGGGAGGCAAAAAUCCAUCAACUGCCCGGGUUUCUAUUCCCUUAUCAGAGGAAGAAUUUGGUUUUCGAAUUACAGGGCUGUGACGGAUUGGCAGGAUGUCUGAGAGUUGAUUCAGUAUAUGGGCUUCGUCGAUAUGAGGAUGUUUUUGCUGCGAAUGAUUCUCUGGGUCGUUAGGACACUUAAAGGGAGAAUCGAGGGUUGAAAAAAGAGUUAGAGAGAGUGGAGACGAUGUAGUGAAGACAGGUAGAGAUUGAUGAGUGUACCUGCGGGUCAGGGAGCUGAACCUCGUGAGAAGCAUUGACGGCGUGGAGGAGGAGGUGUAGGGGUGGUGUUGAUUCUGCCCGACGCGGGCUUAGUUUUGUGGUGCAUCGACUUUGGAAUCUUGGCAAAAUGGAUUGCACAUUUAGAUUGAUUACUGUGUAAGGGACGGAAAAAAAAAUUCCCAGAUAAAAUAUGACGAAUAAAUUAGAUAUGGUACAAAAGUAAAAUUGAUAAUCUUCUCCAACUUCCCUGAACCAUUCAUCUCAUCCCUCAUCUCUCAUUCAUGAGAGUAGGGCUGCAAACGAAUCGAGCCGCUCGCGAGCGCAAACGAAUCGAGCCGCUCGCGAGCCGCUCGAGUCAAGCUCGAGUCGAGUUCGACAUUAAUCGAGCUCGAACUCGAGCUCAGAAUAUUAAGCUCGUUAACUCGCGAGUCGGGAGCGGCUCGAGUCAAGCUCGAGUCGAGCUCGACAUUAAUCGAGCUCGAGUCAAACUCGAGCUCGAACUCGAGUUCAAAAUAUUAAGCUCGGCUCGCGAGCUUGAAUAUAUAUAUAUAUAUAUUUUUUAUUUUUAUUUUUAUUUAAUAAUAAAAUUACGUAUAUUAUAUAUAUAUAUUUUUUAUUUUUUAUUUUCAUAGUGAAAUUACGGAUAUAUCCUUAAUAUUUUAUUAUUUAUUCAGAAAAAAAUAUUAUUUUAUUUAAUUUUUUUAAAAAAAAAAAAAAUUUAUUUUUUUCGAGCUCGAGCUCGGCUCGACUUGAUUCGAGUCGAGCUCGAGCUCGAAAAUUGCCAGCUCGUCGAGUUCGAGCUCGAGCUCGAAAAUUGCCAGCUCGUCGAGUUCGAGCUCGAGCUCGAAAAUUGCUAGCUCGUCGAGUUCGAGCUCGAGCUCGAGCUUGAUAAAAUUUAGCUAAGGCUCGGCUCGAUUAGCUCAAAACUCGACUCGGCUCGGCUCGUUUGCAGCCCUACAUGAGAGUAAUAAUCUUUAUCUAGCUCGACAACAAUUAUGCAGUAAGAAAAGGGUUAAUAUCAGAAACCUCCCUUGAGGUUUCUUCUAAUCACACCUAGAACCUUUCAUGUUUUCGAAAUCACACUUAGCACCCUGGAAUGACAACUUUGGUAUCGUUGUCAACCCCUCAUUAUUUUUGUUCCACUUUUACCCUCCUUGUGAACUCUAUUUAUGUAACUCACAUCCCUCCAACUUUUGUAACACUACAAAAUCGUCCUUGAGCAGUGUAACAUGUUUUGAAUAUUUUGUAAUUUUAUGUAAGCUUCUUGUACAUCUUUAUAAUAGAUUGCGUUUCUGUUAUUAAGUUUUACAAAUAAUUCACAUAAAGUUACACAUUGUUUAAAAAAUGUUACAUUGAUCUGAACGGAGAUAAAAAAAAAUGUGACUAUGGAUUCUCAUAAUGGCAGCAAUAGUUUCAAUAUGUGGUUGUAGUUGUAAAUAAACUUGCUCUUCCAUUUUUGUGAAAAUGAGGUGGUAUAAAUAGCUUUUUGUGCAUCCUAGUCGAAUGGAGUUUGUAAGUUAUUAAUAUUGCGAUACCCUAUUAUCAAGUAAAAAUGGAUUGCUAAUGCUAUAUACUCAUGAAUUCCCAUCAUCUUUAAACUACUUUUAGAUUAUGUUAUUAUUCACUUAGAAAUUGCAAUUUUGGCAAUGGCACUAUGUCCAUUGCCAAAAGUCAACAUCACUGGAAACUCUAUAGCUAUUUAAUAUUAGGGAGUAGGAUAGGAACAAUUGUUAGAUCAACCAUCCCUAAAUCGUGUAACAUUUUUUGAACAUUUUGUAAUUUUAUGUAAAUUUCUUGUACAUCAUUACAAUAGAAGUGUGAUAAGUUGUUAGUGUACAUAUGAGUCCAAUAUGUAAUAAUCGUAUUUGUGUUGAUAAGUUUUACAAAUAGUUCAAUUAGAAUUACACUUUGUACAAAAAAUAUUACAUAAUUACAUAAUAGUUUUACAUAAUUUAGGGAAAACCUCAAGGGAGGUUUCCGAAAUUAACUCUACAUAAAUAGAGCUCACAAGGAGGGUAAAAGUGGAACAAAAAUAAUGAGGGGGCUGACAAUGAUACCAAAGUUGUCAUUCUAGGGGUGCUAAGUGUGAUUUCGAAAACAUGAGGGGUUCUAGGUGUGAUUAGAAGAAACCUCAAGGGAGGUUUAUGAUAUUAACCCGUAAGAAAAAACUAGACAUGGUUCCAUUAGAAUGGAGGAUGGACUUGAACAAUACCAAGGAAAGAAAUAUAAGUAAGGGAUUUCGGUUCGAGAUUAAGAACGACAAUGGAGAAUUUACAUUAAAUUGGACCAAUCCCACUAUUUUUGCUUGUUUAUUUCCGGGGGGGGGGGGGGGGGGGGUGUGUGAAUUGAAAAAAGAGAUAAAAAUUUUACAUUUUAUAAUUGAAUAUUGUUAGUUAGUUUAUAGUGAUUUUAUUAUCUAUUUUAUGUUAUAGUGAAGGAAAAAAUACAAAACAUGUUUCCUAUGUCUUUAGGAAUAUUUUCUUCAUGUUAUCUAGGAGAUGGCAGAACUAGAGAUUUGACAUAUCAAUACAAUCUUAGCAAAAAAUUUAUUAGUGUUAAUUUCAAAAACUUCUAAAAUCAUGAGUGGUUAAAUUGUGUACGUUUUUAAACCAUAGGAAGAUAAAUUAAACCCUGACUAAACCACAUGAGAAGUUUUGUAUUUAACCCAUUUAUUUGUAGGGGAAAUAGUGAUAUUUUGCUUGUCAAUAUUAGAUGUGACGAUCUCCAUCACUAUUUCGAAAACUUACAAACUAUGAAGGGUUAAAUUAUAGAUUUUUAAACUAUAAAAAAGUAGAUGAGGAGAGAUAAUAAUUUACUUUCAUUUGUUCCCUUUUAUUAUCCUUUAUAUAAAUAUUAGAGCAGCAAUUAAGACUAGAAUAAACUUAAUAGGCAAAAGACAAAUUGGAAGAGAUGUAAGCGCAAUAAAAAGAAGUGCAACAGAUAAGUGAUUUUACAACCUUGCGAUGACUAAUACUCUUACUCUAGGAUUAUAAAGAUAACAAGAUAAUAAAAUAAUAGACACAAAUUUAAUGGCCAAAGGAACAACUUAAAAGAGGAAAUUAGUAGAAGAUAUUGUGGCAAAUCAUAACAAGCACUCUUAUAAUUCACCAAUAUCAUUUAAUAUAAAGAAUCAAUAUUAUUGAUUAUACUAGGAAGGUGACAAUUAGGAUUCGAAAACGAAAGAAAUCCAAAUUUGCUUCUAAUGUCCAUUUGAUGUGCUUCUAGUGUGUUAGAUAAUACUAGUAGUAUUAGAAGUUCCCUACCUUUUAUUGCUAUAAAUAAGGUUACAUACUUACAAUCAUAAAUGGUAGUUUUGUUAAUUAUCAUCCUAAUUUUUUUCCAAAUUCUUUUUUUUUUGUGCAAAUUUUAGUUAAUCAAUUAAGGAUUUCUAGAAGGGUAAUAACAUCAAUUUACCAUCCAUGACUGAGAAAUCUUGUCUAGUCAAUAUGACAAGGGAGAUAAGAGAUAAUUUUGAAACUGCAUGGAUGCUAAUUGAUAUUAAGACAAACCUUAGGCGUGGUUUGUGAAAUUAUCCCUAUUUAAUAACAUGCAAAAGACAAGUAAGUUGUAUUGUUAGUAUUUUCAAAUACUAAAAGAAAUAUUAUGAAACCUUAGAAUUGGAAUUGGCUUCAUGCAUGGUUUUGUUUCUCUACAGGUUAUUAAAUUUUUUUCUUUUUAAAAAAAAAGAGAGAAGAAGAAAAGAAAAAGAGUUAUGCAACUUUACAAAAAAAAAUUUUGCAAGCUUCUUUCCAUACCUGUCUAGGUUUUUUCUUAUUCUUUUUUCAAGUGACUAGUAACAUUUUACUACAAGAGAAUAUCAAGAAAUAUUUACAGCAAGAGUUUAGAAACUCCGGAAUACUAAGUAGUGAAUAUGGGAGACUGAGACGGUAAAGCACAUGCGAGUAUAACAUCAAAAAAAGUAUAUAAUCAGUCUCCCUCGCAGAGAGGAUACUUGAGAACUGAUAAUUAACUCUUGAAAAUAACUUGCCAACGAUGGAAAUAAAGAAAUGCUUUCCAAAAUUCAGAAGACUAAUAUAAACGAAUCGAUUUUUAACUAGCUAGUCGGAUUUGGAACAUGCAUAUGUCAUUAACUUGUGGGUAAAAAACAGAAAAGUCUCAUAUGGUAAAUCUAAUACACAAAAAAGUCUCCCGUAGUUUUAAAACAUACAACAUGACACCUUAUGUUUUGAACUAAAUUGUAAAGAUGACGAAAUCUGUUAGAUUUAACGAAAAUGACUUAUUGGAAUCUAAAAAAAAAUUUAUACCUAAUUUUUAACAAAUAUACCUAUUCUACCCUUUAACACUCAAUUCUCUCUAUCUAAAGAAUAAAACAAAUGAUUUUUUGAGCUGUUUUUUGCUUAAUUAUAUCAGGGCAUUUUGGUCAUUUCGUCCAUUUUCGUUAAGUUUAACUGACUCCGUCACCUUUACAAUUUAGUUCAAAGUAUGGAGUAUCAUGUUGUACGUUUUGAAAUCACGAGGGGUUUUUCUGUGUAUUAAGAUUAUCACAGAGGGCUUUUUUAUUUUUCACCCUUGUUAGCUACAAAUCACUUUUCAUGUGGCAAAUGCGGCUAAUAGAUCAAAUAACAAAAGCAAAUCCGUUGCUGAAUCAAUUGUUUAUGUAUGAUGUUUUGCCAUUACAUACUCCCCCAGUCCAAUUUUUUUUUUUUUUUUGGUUGCUUUUCAAGAAUUCAACUCUUUAAGAAUGGUUGCACCACCUUCCAAGUGUUUACGAAUUAGACAAAAAUCUUGCUAAUUUUCUUGCUUCUUAAAAUUAAUAAGGACGAGAGUUGAUGUAACUGAAUCAAUUUUAAAGAUUAAAAGCCAUGAUGAUGCAAGUGUUAGUGAAAAUAGAUGUAAUUUUCCAAUAACUAGAGCUCUCGCGCCCUUAUUUAUUACUAGUUUUUUCAACCUCACGCGAUGCGUGAGGAUGCCCUGGCUAUAUGUUAAUCAAGAUCAAAUGAAGGUAAGUGGAUUAAUGUAAAUUGGUUAUAUAUUUAAUACAUGAUAGGUGUUAAUAAAUGCGGAGAUUUUGACUUUAGGUAAAUUGAAUAUUGUUGUUACUCGUUUACUCAUUUGAUUUGUAAUUUUCUCUUAGAUAGUCAGUCUUUGGCUUAAGAUCUUUGUGAAUUCUUGAUACUAUAAAUAAAUGAUGCAUUCAUUUAAAAUGUACAAGUACAUACAAAUAUCAUAAAUAUGGUGACGCUGAUCAGUUUUAAAAUUAUGCACACACUAUUUGUAUCUAAUAAAAAAUGAAAUAAGUUUCAACAAGAUCAGCCAGGUGAGAGUGUGAAAACUUCACCUUGUAAAACUGCCAAAUCCAGGUUUUCAAUUGAAGAAAGAAACACAUCCAAUAUGUUGCUUUCAGAUGGCUUUCUCUCAAGAUUACAUAGGCAAGAGAGCUAAAACUCUGAAUGAAAAAAAUACCAAUAAAAGUAUCUAAAACUAAAGGUUAGGUAGUACAUUACUUUUCUGAAAUUUCUUAUCAAGAAUUAGUUCAAACAUGUUCAAAAAAUCUUUUCUUGUUAUACAUAAUAGUGAUUAAGGCGCACUCAGAUGUGUAUAUAACUAAUUAGAAUAAAAAUAUUUGUAAUAAUAAUUCUCUUAUAAAAGUGAAGUAUUAUAGGGGAAACAAGUGCAUGGACUUAAUUUGGGUGAUGUUAAUAAAGAAAAACUGAAGAAAUGUGUGUCAAAUAUAGUAGAUAAACAUGGAGAAAUUGAACGUAAAAAUAUGGGAAGAUUCGAAGUUAUGGUAAAAUUGUUGUUUUAUUAUUUUGUUACAGAAUAAAUCCAUUUUAUCCUUUAUAAUAAAGGCAAAAAAAAAAUAAAAAAAAAGAAGAAAGAACUAACAAUGCAACACCGUAAAGGGUAUCAAGUUUUAUAUAUGGCACAUAUAUGCUUCCUAAAAAAUGCCACUGGAGGGAGAGGGGAAAGAAUUCUAGCGUCUGAACUCAGGAGCAAGAGGGCAAGCCCAAACAAAUGCCUAUGAAAUGCCACUGGAAUUGUCGAAAUUUACAGCAUAACCAGUCUAUCUGCCUAUGAAAUGCCACUAAAGUUGCUCAAAAUUACCGGAUAACCGGCCUGCCUAUGAAAAUGCCACUGAAGUUGCUCAAAAUUACCGGAUAACCGGCCCAUGAGCACUGUAGCAACUCCAACUGGCACUUUUAGUAUAGUAAGGAUAGGUGCAAUUAGAUGAAACCAGACGUGCUGCAAUUUGAGAUUCUCCAGAGGCGGGGUAAUAUGAAAAUUUCCCUUCUUCGUAGCCAUCUACAUUAAUUAGCACAUGCUGCAAUUUGAGAUUCUCCAGAGGUGGCAUAUAUGGCAGAGACGUUCAACCCGAAAGAAGAAAAGAAAGGAAAUCAUGAAAAAUUCAAGAAAGAAGAAAACGAGCCGGGUUGAGGAGGAGAGAAUAUCAUGCUUCUUGAACAAGCUCAGGGGAUUGAGUAUUGGGCUUUUCAUGUGGCAGGUGGAAAUGAUUCUGGAGUCUCCCAGAAUGAGAGGAGAUACGCUCGAGAGUUUCAUGUUAUCGAGACUGGUAAGUUGAUAUCUAUCUUAGUUCUAGAAUGCGCACUGCGGUUCAGCGUCGAACUCAAGGGCAUGCAUAGACUUGAGGGUUGAGAAACAUUUCAGCGUGUCAGAGCUCAGGGAAUUUUGCAUUGGAUUUCUGGGUGCCUCGCACCGGCUUCUGUGCCAAAUGUGUAGUGCCUAUACUUGCUGUAAGAGCUUAUUAUCUCAUUACUCAAGUUAUUAUCAUGAAUAUUCAUGGUAUGAUGACAUUGCUUUGCUUAGAGAUCCCUUGAUAAAAGCUCACCCGAACUUUGCAAAAUUGAUGUGUGGAUGCCAAUGAACCUUUGCAUCUUCCAUCUUCGGAUAUGCAUCCCAUCUCGACGAAAGAGACCUCAUAGCUGAAAGCAAGCGGCUGAGCUUCCUUCACAGGCAUGCUUACUCUGUCCGGUUCGCAUUGAAAUUGGCGAAGGGUACUUUAGAGUACGUGGUUAGAUUCGAUCUUGAGCAGCUUAGGAUCGUGCUGAACGCUGCAGGGUACGACUUCAAAAUCCCACAACCAGGAGAAUCUGUGGUUAGAUUCUUGUCAUUGGUGGUGAUCAAUUCAGCCCCAAUCACGCCAGCCACGUUAUUCUUCUCGUACUUGUGAAUCAAAACAGUGAACUUGAGAUGGUUAAACACCUAAUAAUCACCCUGCACCUCAGUACCAACGGGAUAUCCAGUUGCCAUCUUCUGCCUCAAACCAUCAGUUGCCAAGAGCCAUAAAAUAUGUAGUGUAGAAUCCUUGAUAAUGCUUAUGCAUCCUACGUUGGAGAACAAAAGUAAAUUUUCAGUCUUGAUCAUAUGUGAACUUUUAAUCUUUUAAUUGUUUUGCUCUCCUUUCUUGGUCUGGAUCUCCUUUUCGAGACCCAAAUGUCUAAAAUGAUCAAAUAGGCGUAGGUCUAGAAUUUGUGAUUCUGGCUAGACCUUCCCCAUUCAGUUAAAUGACAAUUGAAGACCCGGUGGCUAACUGGUAACCAGGUGCUCCAAGUCCAUGCAAUAGUUAAUGGGUAAUGUGAUGCUUUGUAUCCAUCCCAUAAGUAAAAUUUCGUCUUGAGGCGGAGCCAGAAAAAAUUCUCAGUAGAGCAACGCUAAAAUUUUUCUCAGCGGAGCAACACUAAAAUUUUUUACCUACUCUUUUUUUAGUUUUUUAAACAAAAAAAUAUUCACUAACAAGUUGAAAUGAAAAGUUUUUUUUUUUUUAAACUUAUUUCAAAUGAAAUUUUAUGACCUGUAUAUCCUUUUAUAAUAUUAGUUCAUGAACCAAUUUAGAGGACCACAUAAUUUUUUCACUUCAUUUAUAAGAAAACUCUAAAGGCACAUUUGAAAUUAUAUCAAAAUUCUAUAUGUAUUAUAGGAAUUUAAGGGAGGCAGUGGAGCCCAUGCCCCUGUUGCCCCCACCAUAAAUCCGCCACUGAUUCGAUUAAUUGUAUUUCCAUAGCUAGCUUCAACAGAACCUGUUUUUCUUCUAACAUGCAGCAGCAGGUUGAGAUGUGAUGCUUGCUAUCCAGAACAUUCAGCUUGUCCAAGAAAAUGAGAUUGAAAGUAAAAACAUGCCCUUUUAUGGGGUACUUGCAAUUGAAAAAUUAAAUAGCUGUCUACUUUAACAAUUUUCUUGGUAACUCCAACGGUAGAAUUUCCGUCUUUGACAUACUAUGAAGUCUCAGCUAGGUUGCCUGGAUUAUAUGCUUAACCACUGCUUUCUUGUGCGUGUAUUCUUAAAAUUACAACGUUCAAGCAGGGUUCUGAUCUUUUAAUUCACUCUGCUUGGGCUGUUGUCUAAAGACCUUUGCCAAGAGCAACCAAGUAACCUGAGGCAAGUAGAUUCACCACAGGAAAGUGAUUGAGUUACUUGUAAACUGUGGAUCUGGACAUGAUGUUACUACGACCUUUGAAACAUGAAGAACAGCCGUAGAGAGAGACUAUUCCUUCUUCUCAAGAUUUACAAUACAGAAUUUCUGUAGCCAUCUUAAGUUUGAAAACACGCAACUCUUAUUUCACAUGCAUGAAAACCAAACCGGAGUUUUGAAAGCUAAAUCUUAUAUCUCAUUCAAGAAACCACAAGAAGAGAGAGAGGUCUCCAUCAUGUCUCAUUUUUUUCAAAAUCACACCUACUCAUGCACCAUUCCUGUUCCCGGAUAAGUUUGUGCAGUAAUCUAGGUUUGACAUGAUGACUGAAUGAAGCACAAGGCCACAAUAAAUUUUCCUCUGCGUAACUUGAAGAUGCUGUUUAAAAUGCUGCUAAAGAUCAAAGCAAAUACAAGAUCAUGGGUUGAAAAUUUUAGGUUCAUUCUUUUGCUAGCCCAAUUUCUCCAGAAACUCCCUAGUAAAAUUUCAACAAGCAAACCCUUCAACAAAGUCAAUUCGAAGCUAACCCAAAGCUGCUGGAUUUUCUGGACGUUUAGUCUUAAGCCGUACAGAUUUCUUAAGCCCGAUAAUAUUGUGCAACAAGGAUAAAUCAAUCCAUUGAGCAAAGAAACAACAAACAAACCCAUUGUCAAAAAAGAAUGCUUAGGGUCUCCCAAGGCCCUUAAUACAGAUGCUUUGGAAUUGCAUCUAUCAAUCAGUUUCAUCUAUAGCCUCAACCACAAGACGAUGUACUAUAUUUUCGACAAAGAACUUCCUCUUUGAUGCUCUCCUUGAUGACAGUUAUCAGUUAACAUGUUAAAAAUAAUGAACAGCAGAUAAAGCUAAGCCGAGUCCAUAUACUGGAGACCAAGGCGGCAUACCGGGUUUCUCUUAAUGAGUCCAAGAUCCACCUGCAAAAACCCAAAAUGAAGUCUAUGCCUGUGUACUGAACAGACCUUAACUCAGUCCUUAUCAUAGAAUGAAGAAGUUGUACCUUGUGGCCAAAGAGGUCUCUGAUAUUAUCAAUUCCAUAGAGGAUCAUGGUAGGCCUAAUGAAAAAAUAAUAAUAAUAAAGGAAAAAGAAAAAGGCAGAUAAUUAUCAACCACCCUGAAGAGACACAUUGACAGAAUCGAAAGACUUGCACUCGCUUGAAUGAGCACAAUUAUAUAUGGCACAUGUAAGUAUGCAGGUUAAUGUGGUCACAAUUAAAUAAAUCUGUUUACCUUUCCAGGGAAAGGCCCCAGGCAAUAACUUGAACAUCUUCAGGAAGCCCCAUAGGUUGCAGCAUCUCAGGUCUGAACAUACCAGAAUUUCCUACUUCCACCCAUUUUUUGAAGCCUUCAUGAUAACUGACCAAGUAAAGUACCAUCAGAAUAUUUACUACUAUUGGUAGAGGUAUCAAAAUGGGUGACUUGGACGGGUUUGGGUUGGGUAAAAUGGGUAAUGGGUAUAAGUGAGUCAACUCAUUUAUACCCAUUUAAUUAGAUGGGUAUAAAUGGAUAAGUCAAAAAAUGAAUUGGAUAACCCAAUUACCCAUUUAUAACUCAUUUAUUUUAACUUUUUGCAAACUCAUUUAAAUUCAUUUUUGCAAACUAAGUUAUCAAUUUAUACCACUCUUUGUACCCAUCAUUAGUUUUAAAUAUUUACUUAUAAUGUUCAAUAAACUUAAUUACCAAUUUUUUUCAUUUAUACUCUAUGUCACAAAAUUACCUAUUAUUUAAUAAUUGAAUAAUACGAAUAUAAAAAUUUGAAUUAAGUACUAUAAAAAUUAAUAUAAAACUUAAUCCAAAAAUUUUGAACCCCUAACAUUUUUUCAUAUAUAAAUUUAAAAUUUCAUUUUAUAAAGAUAAGAAAAUAGGCUAAAAUUUAUCAUAAAUUGGUAAUGCUAAAAAAUGAGCAAGUUAACAAACUAAGAAAAAAUAAAAUAAUAAGAUAAAACCAACAAAUAAUAAUAAUAAUAAUAAUGUUAACAUCAUGACAAAAUGAAAAAUUUGAAAAAAAAAAGGUAGGGGAAAAGAAGAGACUUGGGAGGAACAGAAUUUUAAAUGGAUUAAUUGGGUUUGAUGGGUUACCCAAUAAUAUCCAUUUAAUAAACGGGUAUUAUUGGAUAAUCCAUUUAUACCCAUAUACAAAAAUUUAAGAUACCUAUACCCAUCUAUUCAUGGGCGGGUAUGGAUAAAUCUAGUUAAGUGGGUUGAUUUGCCACCUCUAACUAUUGGACAUGCCUCAAACCUUUACAAACAAAGUGGUGAUUACUACCUGAAAAUUUCCAUGCUGGGUUCUGUGUAUGGAUUAUAUGCAGGUUUGAAACGGAGCUUGGACAUGCCUGUGAAUAGGGAACAAUAGUUAUUCCACAAGAAUUACACAGUAAGCAUAGCAUAAAUCUUAUGAUACUAUUACCCAAACGAGAGAAGAAUUCAUGAAGAACUCCAAUCAGAUCACUAAGGGCAAGUCCCCUAUCACACAUAACACCUGCAAUCACAAACCAAAAAAACAAUGAUGAUACAGGCAUGUAAAAUCUUUCCAUAGUACUCAUCAAUGGCAGAUAUUAAUUACUUCAAGACCAAGACCAAGAACAACAUUUUUAUCUGAAAGAAUUUUAUAUUAUUAUAAUUCCCCCGAUUUGUCAUCAAUCUUCUAGUGGCUAAGGUAGAGGCACCAGAAAUUAGAGGUCCUCAUUUCAAAUCCCCCCUUCCCCCUUCCCACUUAUUAAACACCCCCCCCCUUCUGUUAGGGGGCAAAAAAUUACCUUCACAGAGUCAUGACACAAGGAAAAUUGCACCUGAGGAAGUAAAGAAACCUAAGAUCCACAUGUGCUAUUAAGAAACAUGAAUACCUUCUAUUUGGUGAAACUCAGCAAGAUGAGUCCUAUCAACAGCUUCAUUUCGAAAAACACGAUCUAUUGAAUAGUACUUCUUGGGAGCGAAAGGUUUCUGCAUACAAUCAUAGUUCCUUAGAUGAUAUUACACUGGCUGUCCACUAUAUGAAAAAUGCAGAAGCCAUUACAGACAAAACAAUCAUAAAAUACGCAGGCAAGUCAACCCACUCUCACACCUGCUCCAUCCUAACACAGACAAAUACACACACACACACACACAGGGGGGGAAGACAGAGAGAGAGAGAAGCAGAGAUUUUAUAAUGCACUAAUUACACAAGUAUUUCCAAGAAAAGAAUCACUUUGCACUAAACAAACUCACAACCAACUCUAAGCAUAUCUCAAUCUGCACUCAUUAUUACAUUGGAGAUAACUACGGAGGUUAUUGGGUCAAAUUUUGGUAUUGAAAUCGGAAUUGGAAUCAUAGACCCAAUAGAUAAAAAGGAGCUGGGAACUUUCAAGAUGGGAAAAAAAAAUAAAACCUGUGCAAGCAAGUACAGCAUCCGCGAAGAAACAGCAGUUGUAUGAGUCCUGAGAAGAUUCUUAUUUGCUUCCUCCCUUUUCCACUCAUAUCCAUACCUACAAAGACAGCUCUACUUAGAUGCAUUCAGUGCUGAAUAUAGAAUGGUAUUACAAGUAACUUUUACUAGCAUACCCUCGAGACCCAUAACCACCAUUUUCAUGAACUUCCUUGACCCGGUCCACAUAAUCUUCAGGCAGUGUCUUUGUAGUAGAAGGUUCUGUAAAUUUUAUGAACAUGCAUUUAUUAGAGAAAAUCAGAACGGACGAUAAACAUCCUAAGAUUAAAACCAAACCAACCUUUCAAGAAGAAUGUAUCAUGUGAAUCACGCGCAGGAUGUUGCUGUGGCUGGAAAAGCGCAUCAAAAUUCCAAAAGCUGCAACAUUGGAAAGAAUUUUUGUCAACUAAGAUUCAAUAACAAAACUACUAUUAUUUCUAUUACUUGAAAAGCUCCUCCAUCAGUUAAUAUAGAAAGAAGAAAAACUGUGGCACCAUUUUUUAUUAAGCAGAGCAAUCUCCAGCUUUGCUGACACCCAAUUGCAUAUUAAAGGAAGUAUCUAUUUACCGACAAAUCUCCUCAUAAUUAAAGGCCAUAAUAAUUACAAAAGGAAUCAUCUCCCUGUUCCAUUUUCAAAACCAGUCUUCAACAUUUACUUGCUACACUCCUGGUGACAACUCAUGAGAAGUGUGUCUACCACCCACUGCUAACCCAAAAGCUGAGAAGAAACUCCCCAAUCACCUCACACUUCAUAAUUGAGAACAAUGGGCCUCGGAGAGCUAUAGUAAAUUUACUUGUAUUCAUUUAAAUUCAUUGAGCAAUAUAAGAGAAGCUCUUCAGUAGAAAUGGCUUCAUAUGCCUCAUAAUAAGGAGGGGUGAAUCACAGUUUAAAUGUGAAAAUAGCAGCUGCAGGUUUUAGUGUCUCAAACAUUCUUUAUUUUCAUCACUUUCCUCUAGCUACUAAACUAAAAAUUUUGUCAAAACCUUGAGAAGGCUUUCUUUAGCUGAGGAGUAAGCAUGCAUUUGAUAAUCUACCUGCUUUCCACAAAAUUAUUUGUUGGCAUCUCCUCAAAUCUGCACAAAGCAAAGCAAUAACGAAGGUGCAGGCCAUAAAAAAACUCUUCUGAUGAAGGCAAAUAUAUAGCACGAAUGCAACAUCAACAAAAUGACCAGGUCAUACCCCAUCUGAAGAAAAAUCAUCUGUACUUGACGCCGUACCUAUAGCAAAUGUAAAAACAACAGCCGAUUAGUAAGCGCACAGAACAAUGCUACCUUAUAAAUGACUGUUGAAGUUGAUUAUUGAUGGCUAAUCACUGCAAGUGCUAGUUUUGUGCCUAACGUCAGAGUUAGUCAUUUAUGAAAUUAAUAUUCAGCCCAACUGCAACACCAGCAUACAGUAGGUUAUCCUAUAAUAAGAGACCACAGGGAUCCUUGAGUAAUGAAACAUAAACUCAGUCGUCAAAGAAACAACCAGAAAUUACACAAGUAGUUACUCAGUGGCAAGGAAUGUCUCAUGCAUUUUAGUAAGGUACACCUCACGAGUAUCUCUGUGCCUAAUAUUCAGUAAAUUCUUCACUUAGAAAUAUGCUCACAAGGAGAAGAAUUUUUUCUGCAUCCUAGUAAAAGGCAGAGACUUCAUAAACGGUAUGAAUAAAGGGUCUAAACAAGCUAUUCAAUCACCUCAACUUCAAAGGCCCAGCCAACUUUUCUAGGAUAAGCAAAACCAAAACCAGAACCAACUUUAGUUUGCAAUGCAUAACUCCUCAUGCUUCAACUUCAGGGAAACUAAUGAACAUAAGCGAAAGAGAAAAACCGGCAAGCAAAAUAAUGAAAAGCUAGCGAGACAGACAGAAACAAGGGAUUCCUGCCUUGAGCAACGGAUGUAGAUGACCACCUUCAAGUGGUUGACCUUUAGCACUGAAGUUGUACUCUUUAAACUCCAAUUCCUUCCAGUCGCCCCUUCAAGGAUAAAAUAAGAAUAUGAGAACCCACCAGCCAUAAAAGCAUGCUAAUCCCGAUAAUAUCUCAUGUUGAUAAACUAAUUCAUGUAUCCUUAACCUCCCAAUCAUGAUAAAGCAAUAAAACGAUAUGACAAUACACAUCCUUGCUCAUGGAUUGAAGAUAUCACAGAGACACAUAUCUCUGUGAUAACGGACAUAUUGUGCAAACAAAAACCAAAAAUUUUGUACAAUUAGCUAUCAAAGGUUCUCAACAAGUAUAUGGUACAAUUUUAUACCAGCCAAGCCCAAAUUGCUCACUUUCCUAGUUAUUUAUUUUGCAAAUGUAAAAAUUGAAAGUCUGCAUACAGUUUCCUUCAAAAGCAUAUCAUAGCAAGAAAAGCCUACUAAAGUACACAUAUGUAGGCAAAUUCAGGUUCCCAUCCAGCAAAUCAACAAUCCAAACUCAUUUUCAUUCUAUAGUAAGACACCAAACCAAAUUAGAUACUCAUCUACAAGUAUGAAAAUUAUUUGCUCUCUGAAGCACAUGUGAGCAAUUGAAAGCUAUCAAAUUUACUUAAGUAGGAACAUUUAAGACAUUCCAGCCAAUACGCACACAAGUUGAUAAAAGUAAAUUCACAAAAAAAGCCAUUUUAUUGUAUAGCUCACAAAUGAGAAACAGCAUGAAGUAUUACCAAAAAUUUACACAGUCAUCCAUCUCAACUAGCAUGAAGAGAAAUCUUUGCAUUCUUAACGAUGACUCACAGCAGUCAUUUUGACAAAAAACAGAUAAGCAUUUAAUUACCUCUGUAUAUUCUCUCGUGUAAGAUCAGUGGCAGCUUUUUUCCUUUUCGGAGCAUAUUUGGGACCCUUUCUGACUGAGUAACCUUUCCAUAUUCUAUAAAAAAAAAAAGUAAAACAUCUCAAAAAAAGGUAAUAUACAUCCUAAAGGUGCGUCACACAGAAUAAGCAACUUAAUAUCUCCAACGUAAAUAAAUAAAUGAAUAUGAAUUGCUUAAGACAUUACUGUUGAGUAAUAAGCUUUCUUCUUUUAAGAGCGUCAAUAUCCUCCGAACUUACUGCCUGCAAUUACAAUACCAUUUGCAGCAUAAAAGAUUAGUACCUAAUCGGCAGUGAAGUCCAAAUUAUAGUAGUCAACAAAUAGUAUUUAUUUUCUGAUACAUCAUAAUUUGUUAUAGAGCAACCUUACUUAGACAGCAAUAAACCUAAUUCAAUGGUUUAAUUAGACUAAGGGGUCAUGUCCAGAAAAGAAAAAAGCUCAGUCCUAAAUAAACCCACUUAAAUUGACAUGCUACCUUGUGAUAACUUGUUUAGAACAAUGUUGAAUUGCAUCACCCACUUGUAGUUAACAGAUCCACAAUUUGGCUACAUAAUCAACGUGAUUUGUUAAAGAAAAGCUGAAUGCUAACACAAGUAAAAACAAUUCACCCUAAGAUAGCAAGCUACUUCUUUCUUCUUUUGUUUCAAGUUUUUAAAUGAAAAAUCUAGUAAUUAAAGGCAACAAAAUGUUGAAUAUUAACACCAUGACUAUACAGUACAUUGUUAAUCAUUUGGCAGUAUGUUGUCAACUUACACAAGAACUAAUAGUUCAAACCAAUGUAAUUUUACUAAGAUAGGCUAGAACAAAUCCUGUUCUUGCAGCUUAAAGCACUAUUUGGAUAGGUAAAUGGCAAAUGAAAAUGGAAGCAACUAAUUCACCAAGGGAGGAGGAACAGAAAAUCCAAAAACUAUUAAAUGCACGAAAUACCAAUCUAAAACUAUUGAAAAUACUAAAUACCUCUCCAUUUUGGAUCUGUAGAAGUAAAAUUUUAAUUUUAUCCUCAACUUGCUGAACCUGCAAAGUGUUGAAUAAGACAAAAACAUAAGGGUUCGCAAUCAACAACAGAAGCUGACAGAGACUAUAGAUCUUAUCUUUUACUUCCACAUUUAAUAAUUUUUACUAGUGCAUUUUGGAUCCGUAAAAGUAAAAAUUUAACUUUAUCCCCAACAUGCUGAACCUGCAGUACAUUGAAUAAGACAAAACAUAACGAUCCACAAUCAACAAUAGAAGCCGAUACAGACUAUAGACCUUAUCUUUUACUUCCACAACUAAUAAUUUCAAAUAAAUGUCAAAUAGUUUUUAGAUGCAGAUACACCUAUUAGAACCUAAGUAUAGGGGUGGUCAUUAACACUGGCCCUUCUCUUGGACUCAAUGGUGAUAUUGUUAUCAGGAAAUAUAGCAUAAAGUUGAAAAUAAAUUGACAGCCAUGUAAUUCACAAUUGUUCCAUGCCAAUCUAAUUGUUACCUUUCUGGAAACUUGUGACUUUCCCAUCUCGAUCCAUUUAUUCUUUAUGGCCUGCUGGGAACCGAUCUUGAAAAUAGAGGACUCCAGCUUUUUCUGCACAUACGGAUAUCCCAUUUCACAAGCAUAUCUUCCAUAGUUAAGUAGACCCAAAAAAGGACCAAAAUUCAGAUCAGAAUGUCAUAGUUGCAGCUUGGUUGGUUUUUGUUGGUGCCAGAACUUUGAAGUUGCUUCACAACGAUACUAUAGGAGUGACAACUGAAGUUACUGUUUCCUAUAAGGGUCAAACCAAGAAACGAAUGUCUUGAAGACAUAAAGCACCAAAGCAAAAUUCACUCCAUACAGCAGGAUCAAACUCCAAACCUAUAAGCUCUAGGUCAAGUAACAGAAAAUAUAGGGUUUUGCAGGAAUUUGAUUGUAAAAUCAGUAUAAAAAAAAGAGAGAAAGAAAGACAUGCAUGGGAAGAAAACAUAAAAGGACUGUAGAAUACGAAUAAUAUCAAGCACAGUAGCGCAAGACCAAUGCAGAAAGCACCCAAAAUAUGUAAUCAAAUAAUGUUUGACAACCUGCAAGUCUUCCCGUGCAAUACCCUCCGCUGGUAUAGCCAAGAAGAGUUGGACUUCGGGAGAUCCAGCUUCAGCAUACUUUUUUCCCUCAUCCGUGAGCACCCAUCUCUCUUUCUUAAUAUCCUGCACAAUUGGCAUGCAGCUAAAGUAAAAUCCCUAAGAUUUAAGUUCAUAAACCUCAAUUAGACAAUUUUUUGGCAAGCUUAAAAAAGGUACUGCUUAACAAGCAACUCAGGCACUUAAAACUAAAAUGGCAGAUACACAUGCCUAAAUCCACCUACCUCUGGCAUAUUAAAAUGAUCAUAAUCACAAUAUAACCAGAACAAUUUCCUGUAAUUCAAAAUUAACAAGAAGAAAAAACAAAAUUUGUGGAACAUUAGGCCAAAAGCAGAUAAGGAAUCUGAAAAGGUGAAAAUUGACAAGCUACGAUAACUAAAAGAGUCAGAAAAUGCCAACCCAAAGAAAAAAAAAUUAGAGCUGCCUUUUGUAAAGUAUUUUGCCAGCUUGAAUAUCUCAAUUGAAAUUCCCAAAACUAAACUGACUUUAUAAGGUACAUUUCUCUUAAACUUCAUCAUUUGAGCAAUCAACAGACAGAACUGUCUCUCGAUCUUUCUUUAUUCUCAAUCAAUUGGAGUAAAUAUCAAUUCCGUUCAUCUCAAGUUCCAAUGACCUAAAUACCUAAUUAAAAAAUAAGCGUCUUCGCCGUCAAAAAAAAAAAAAAAAAGCGCCAAGCAUGCAUUUUUUUACAGAUAAUAAACAUAAAAUGGGAAUUCAUACCUGAGCAUCAACAAGUCUGAAUCCGUUGAGGCUCUUAAUAAUGUUGAGGAUGUCGUCAUGGCUCAAACCUCGAUCCUCCGCGAACUUGCCGGAGUCGGAUAUCUCUUCGUUCUUCUCCAGAUAUCUGAGCACGGCCUCUUCCGCCAUAUUUUCUUUCUUCCUCUUUUAGGUUUAGUUGUCGUACUUGUUUACUUUGUAAAAACCCCACGUCGUCAGCGGCGCCGUGAAUCGGAAUGCCAAAAAGCCGUCAAAUGACGGAUGCUAGGGGUAUUCCAAGCUACAGGUGGGGAUAGCGUUGGUGCAGUGUAUAUUGUAGUCAAAAAGGUUUGCUCAGGGCUUUGAGCUGGUACGUCUCACUGUGAAUUACAUUCAGCAACCCGCCAAAAUAGGAUAAUUUACACAACGCUCCCCAAGAUCUCACUUAAUUUCACUCUACCUCUGAAAAGCACGUAAAGUUUUAUUUGAACGGGAAAUAGUUAAAUUAUACUACAUUUUAAAAAAAAAAAAUUGAGAAAGAAAAUAUUAAAAAAAAUCCUUAUUACAAACUUAUUGAUAUAGUAAUAUGUUUUGUUUUUAUAAAAUCAUGAAACUCGUACGUUCUUAUUAAAAAACUUUACAAUCCUGUCAAAUUUUAUAAUCUUAUAAAAACUGGCCUGAAUUUAUUAGUAAAUCAAUGUGCGCUGAUUUCCAUCAUCGCUAUAUGUAGUAAAUGUGAAAAAUUAAGCACAUUUGAUUGAAAAGACUUUAUAUAUAAUCUACUUGAACUUAGAUUGCCCCAUUUCUAGUAAUCCAAAUCGCCAGAAAUUUGUGCUCAAUGUUUACAGAAUGCUCAUUCGUUUUGUCCACUAACUUAACAGAGGAAAGGGUUGAUUUAGUUAGCAUGCAUGCGUUAAGCAUUUCUUUUGAUGAAGAGUGGCUACACUCUUAGUGCCAAGGUGCACUUGUAAAGUCAUUUUGGACCUUUGCUCAACAAUUGUAUAGCUUACAACAUAUCAAUGAAAUUAUCUAACGUUUCUGGUUAAAAAAAAAUAAUGCUCGGCCUAUUUGAGCGGUAUUUACCUCAGCCGCUUAAAUUUUGAUUGGCAAAUGCAGAAGAGCAACCGGAAAGUGAAAAACCACAAGAAAGGGUACUGCAACUUUAACUUUCCUUUUUUCCCGGUUUGUCUACAGCGUGAAAUUUUUCUUAAGAGGGACGGAGUUCACAUAAUUGAGAUUUUUUACGAGUAACAAGCGCUAGAAUUGCUUUUGAUUCGAGGGAAGUGGUUGGAAAUAAUGACAGCCGAAUAUAUACAGAUGCCCUGAGGUCUAAACCACACUAGACACUGAUGUGGUAAAAAAAAUGUGGAGCUUUAACUGAUGAGCUGUAAUGUCAAACAAAUACAACGGAUUUGCUCCUUGAUUACCCUUGGUAGCCAUACCAGUUGAGCUUCAAAAAAAUACACCACGAAACAGGCGUAUUCGAGAAGCAUAUUGCGUGAGAAGACUUGGUAGCAAAGCCAACAUUCAAAAAUCAAUUUGAAGUUUAUUCUCACGCCUUACCAUCUGGGUUUCAAGAUGUAGGAACAGAGCAGUUUGGGGGAAAAGAGAACUGAAUUUAUAUCACAAUCAAAGACUGAAAAGUGUCUAUUAAAAAGCAAGUCCCCCUUUAUCUCAUAACUUAUCCAUUUUCACAUAACUACGUAUGAAAAUGACCAGCCCAACUCAGCGAUAAAGGCUUUCCGACCUGAGAUUUUCUGCAAUCUCAGUUUCCCACCGGUCUCCGUUCUCGAGCAGCUUUUCCUUGUCAUA
rnacentral:lncRNA from 1 species